rnacentral:lncRNA from 1 species
UAAUUAAAAAUUACACUUGUGUGACGAAGAUAUGUCAUAGUGCAAAACCACAUGAGUCUUACAUGUUUCGUCAUGCAAACGUUUUCGAGACGAACCAUAGACGUCCCUAGAAAUUUCUCAUCACAAAGCAAACUUGUACCCUCUUAUAUCGUGCAACGAAAACCAUUGUCAUUAUACCUUUCUUGCAACGAGCAGUAAAGGGUCGCACAAUGGUUUUGCUGCGCAACGAAACUACACUCGUCGUCGCGCGCCUUUCUUCACGACCUUUGCACGACAAAUUCUACAUAAAGAUUUCUGCGUCGCCAUAGGUUUUGUGCGACAUGUAAAUGCUUUGCGCGACAAAUACUCCCUUGUCACGCAAAGUGUUUAAUGUAGUAGUGUAAAUUUGGAUUAAGUACCUAGAACCCUCCAACCUUUUAGUAUCAUUCCAAAUUAGUUUCAACUUUUUUAAACAUUCCAAACAAGUGCCUAACCUAUUGAAAAUACACAUCCCUUAAGUCCCAGUUAAACAUCUGUUAAAAUAACUACAGCUUACUUUGAUCCAAAAUCAAUAGAAGGUCAUGGAAGCAUAGUCUCCACCAACUAACGGUCAGCACCACCCCCAUCUGGCAAUCACCUCAAAACCCAAGGCAAAACCACCAAGUCCACCUAGCAACUCAAGCUGCCAACAUCGAGAAAUAGGUUAAGGAGGUUGCUGAAAUAGUAUGGACCGCCAUGAUGCAACCAGCUACCACCAUCUUCAUUGACCACAAAGAAGAACUAAAAGCUUUAUGAGCCGAGAUUUCCCUCCUAAUAUAAUUUCUAUUUAGAUCCAUUUUUGAUUUAAUUCAUACCCGUUUGAUCGAUUAGGUUCCAUAUUGUAUGAUUUAUGUUUGAAAUUUAGGUUUUGAGGCAACUACUAUUAAUGUUGACCAUGAUACACUCAUUUGGUGGGUUUUGAAAUAAUUUAUGUUUGAAAAUUUAACUAGAGUUUAACGGAUGUGACAUUUCAGUAGGUUAGAUACUUGUUUGGAAUACUUAAAGAUGUUUACACCAAUUUGGAAUGAUACCAAAAGGUUGGGGGGGGCUUUAAAUACUUAAUCCUAUAAAUUAUAAAGUAUUAUAAUAUAUUGAAAACAUGGGGAACAAGCAUAUAAUGAGUGUUCAUCCAAGUAUUUAAUAAGUCUCUUACAAUUUAUUGAAAAAAUAAAAUGCAAAAUGAAAGUUAUAUAUUUUUUGUCUAAGUAAGAGUCACGACCUAGACGGGUGCCUAGGCAGCUCUAGAUGCCCAUUCUUAAUUUUCAAACAUUUAGGGAUUCAUUAGAGUGUUCGGCAAACCAGCCUAUGUUCACAGUAAAGUAGAUUAGUCUUAUUGAUCAUAAUUUGAGAAUGAGCAUUCUCAGAUACAUUUCAUGAACUCCAACACCAGAAAGAAUAAAUGCUUACAGCUAUACAUACAUGUUCCGAGAAGUCCUUUAAGAACCCAACACAACUAACACCAUCGAGCCACCUUGGAAAUAAACAUAACUAAAGCACAAUCUAAUUAUUCCAACACUCCCUCAGCUGAUGCGAGAAGGAUGAAGCAGCAGAGAUUGAAGAAAAGGUUUCUAAAUCAAGUCUCAUAUAAGUUGUUGGUUAAGAUGUCAGCCAGUUACUUGCUGCUUCUAACAAACAUCGUUUGGAUAUGAUAUUGGCUUGAACUUUUCCUCGAACAAAAUGACAAUUAACUUCAAUGUGUUUCAUUCUUUCAUGAAACACAAGAUUGGCGGCAAUGUGUAUAGCAGCUUUAUUAUCAUGAAGUAAUUUCAUAGGCUUUGGCAAACCAAAUCCUAAGUCAUUACGAAGAACUGGAAGCCAUAUUAACACACUAUUUGUAGACGUCAUCUCUAUAUUCAGCUUCCGCACUUGAACGAGCAACUACAUUUGACUGGAUUUCCUCCGACAAAUGUACAAGAUCCAGUAGUGGAAUCUGCCUAGCCUGCAUCGAUGUAUCCAACAAUCUCAUUAUGGCCAUUCUUUUUCAUCAAAACCCCUUAUCCAGGAAGAACCUUUUAGUCAUGGAGCAUCCAUAUGUUGACUUAGUAAACUAACAUCAUACGUUAAAUUCGAGUGAGGGAUGACUAGAUGAAUAAGCCUCUCAACUAGUCUUUUAUAUUGACACGUCGAUAAGGAUGACAAUUCUAACUGUUAAACCCGAUAAUCGUGGAUAACCGCUGGAAUAGAUUGGAUUUGGGUAUGAAAAUUCGGGUAUAUUUUGGAUAUGGAGAAAAACCGUGAAUAGUAUUCGGUUAUGGUUUUGGAUAUGGUUAUAGGGGUCCCCAAUCCGUUGUUAAGAUAGUUGAAGAAGAAGAUAGAAGAGAAAAAGAAACGAGAGGGAGAGAGAACAAUAUGUAUUUUGUCAUUCCUAUUUUUGAAUAAUGAACACUCUGCUCUACAACUUCAGUUUUAUAUCUCAAUACCCGAAUCUCAUCAAUCUAAUCAAUAUAGCUAACUAACUAAUCUAGGAUCAUGACAAGUGUUAACAACCCAAUACAUCACAUUCUUCAUUAUACUCCUAACAUCCCCCCUCAAACUUAAGAUUGGGGCACCCAAUCAUGAGGUUGAAACAUUCAGGUUGUCAAAAAAAAAAAAAAAAAAAAUCAAUGCAGAGUGUAGACAACUCGUUGAUGAAGAUCUGUUGUUGUUACUCCAGCCACUAGUAAAAACUUAAAAAAAUAUGGCUUUUAGCAUGAACCAUGAGCUUUGGCAAUCUAAACUCUUUUUGGAUAGUAUUCCUUGCAAUUGGAGAGUGGAGUAUCUGGUCAUUGCUGCACACAUAGUCUGCAAUAAGAAAACCUCCUAGCAUCUGGAGCUUGUAUUUUACCACCAUUAUAUCGUGUAUACCAUAGUACCCAAAUCAACGUAUAGAGAAAUUCAUGCGACAGAGAGAGAGAGAGAGACAGAGAGAGACAGAGAGCUAGAGAGCUCUACAUGCAAUGGAUGAGUCAACCUUGAGUGUUGUGAAUGACUUAUUGAGAAAUGGUGAGAGUUGGCUUUCUAAAGAGGCUCUCACAUUUGUCUUUUCAAUGCCACCAUCAUCACAUUUCCAUACGAGGAAGUGGCCAUCAACUUGUUUUGUAUUUUUAAACACUUAUGAUAAUUAAUUAAACUAUUUAACAAAUUAUUUCAUUAUUUCCUUUUUGUUGGAACGAAAUUCGCGCACAUUUACGGACAGAGGCGAUUUUCAGUCGUAGUUACCCACGAAUUCUAGGGAUGGGGAAUGGGGUUGACUGGGGGUAUAAUUGAAUCCAUGAUCGCAUUGCCUACAUAUCUUCGGGGUGGAGUGUAGUCCGAAGGGAGGAGUAUGUAUGAUGUAUGCUAUAUCGGAAUACAUCAUUGGUGAAUGUGCAUUGACUUAGGCAUGAAGGAUAGGCUUCCAUGUUUAUGCGUAUUGUAUCCCCAUAGAGAAUAUCAAAUGUCCUUGGUAAAUACCCAAGCUAGGAUAUUCAUAGAGACCUUGAGAUGGUAAUUGAUAGGAGCUUAUUUAUGCGACUUAGUUAGCUUGUUUUCUUGCACUUUCAUAGUUAGUUUCUAUUUAUUAUAGUGAUUUAAGCUAUUUUCGUGUGUUUGUAGGUCCUAAUGACAAAGUUGGCAAGAAAGUGCAUUUUGGAACAGUUUUGGGCCAAGAAUGGAUAGCAUAUGCAUGAAGCAAGGUGGAUGGACGUUUUUGAAGUUCAAGAGGCUAGGAAUGUGCUGAAAAGAUGAAGAAAAUGAAUUCAAGACAAAGAAAAUAAAGAUUCAGCUAAAAACAAGGAACAUUAUCCAAAACCUUAUCCAACCUUAUCUUAUCCAAACUUACCUUGUCUUAUCUUAUCCUAUCCUAAUCUUAUCCUACCUUAUCUCCAGCUGCAAAAGGAGUCCUUAUCCUAUUCUAAAUCCUUCUCAUCUAAAUUUAGGAGUCGUAAUCCAUCUAAACACAUUAAUUCUUUUCCUCCUUGGAAUCUGAUUAGAAGUAUCCUUAUUCCUUGAUCAUUUGGAGUCCUAAUUCUCUUCCUACUCACCCUAGUCGUGCCUUACAUUCUCCCUAUAAAUAUAAAAUGACACAGCACUCAGAAAUUACCCACCUUCCAUCACAAAUUUGUCCCAUACAUCCCUCAUACACAUUCAUCCCAUUGUGCCGCAGCUUUACAAGGAGAUAGGAAAGGAGACCCCUGGAGCCGUGCUUGCCAUUCAAGACGUUGGAUUGUUGGAGCGUUUCUAGGUGUAUUCUAUCCGUUGUUUCAAUUUUUAAUUUAAUUGUCUUUGUUUAAUUGCAAACAUGAGGAGCUAAACUCGUUUUAGCUAGGGGGAAUUCAAAGCCAUGAACAUAUUUGCAAUAUGAAUUGAUUACUUCCAGUUGUGAUUUCAUGAAUCAUGAAUGCAAUUUAAUUAACUGUUUGAUUUAGAACUUAUUCUUGUUUUUUGAUUAAGGGUGCACACUUAGUUUGCAUGCAGGGAUUUGAUGCUAAAAUAUAAGGGAGUUUCACCUUAUAGUUAUGAACUUAUAUUUAUAAGUAGUGGAGGUUGCUAGUCACAAUCGUGUUAAGUGAAUUCCUGGUAGGAGUAUAAUGAUUACGAAUGCCUUGUCAAUGCUUAUGAUUUUCACAAAGCUUAAUGAUCUUUGAUUGUAUCUCUAUUAUGAUGUUCAUGUAGGGAGUAAGGAAAAUCUGAAGGUUAAUUAGUGCUGUUCAUGGUUUAUUGGACAAGCAACUGGCAAUCGAUUUGUAUGCAAGUGUGUCAUGUGUGGAGAAGAACCCUCUAGCUAGCCAUUCACCCAUUAAAUCACCAAUUUCGUCCAAAGUUAUUUAGAGUCUUAAAUCUGUUUAGUUUUACUUUAAAUUCGUCAAAAACCUAAUCCCCUUUACUUUGCUGUGUCAAGUUAGUUAUAAUCUGUCCAAUUUGUGAUUUCAAGUGUUUUUAAGUGUUUUGAGUCAAUUUAAAAUCAAUUUUCGUCCAAAGUCAUCUUUAGUGUUAGUUUGGAUUCAGUUUGCUUGUUUUGUGCUGUUUUAAAUAGUUUGAGUCAGUUUUGAGUCAUAAGAGUCUAGUUUUGUGUUUUUGAGUCUAGUUUAGUGUUUUUGAGUUUAAUUUGUGUAGAUUAGCAACCCUUUUAAUCCCCGGCCUAAAAUGAUCCAUACUUUCAUAUACUACAAUCAUAGGGUUUUAAUUUGAGUGUUAGAAUAUUUCACAUCAGUAAUCCCCAUUAAUUCGAGAGUCUAACUAGGAAGGUAUCUAGGAUAAGAUAUCUAGUCCUCUUAGGAUUAUGAUUAAGUUGCCCAAUCUCUAAGAAAUCCUAAUGUGAGUUGAAUUAAGGUUUCCUUACUUGGAAGACAAGUAAUAUAGGUAAUGGACUUAAGCCUAGAAUAUCUGACUAAGGCUAAGUUUGAUCUGACUAAGAAGCCUGACUAGCCCGAUAAUCGAAAGUCACGGGCUAUGAGCACUCCAGUCAUUCUCGCCACCUGAGUUACCAUGUAUUAGGGGCCUAAAAUGCAUGUUGUGGUGGCACUGUGGGUCAUUUUGUUCAGCUCGUUAUGUUCAAAGUUGUUUAGUCCAUAACCAGACUAUGAAGGGGCACUUACUCUAAUCCACCUUACUCCGGCCAAAGAUAAUUCCAAUGAGAGUCAGAAGGAUAGAAUUACAGAGAACAGAGAGGCUCGGGAAGAAUGAACGAGAGAAGAGAGAGAGUGGUCCAAGAGUUGGAUUUAACCCACUCAAUUUUUUUCCCAGCAAAAUGGUAAUUUUGCCCCUAACUUACUGAAUAAAACGACACUUAACCAACUUAAGUAUUUUUUGAAAUCCGAUUUAGCUCAUGCACUCGUGAGUACGUAUACUAACUACAUAAAAUAAGAAAAUGCGAGAAAUCUAAUUUAAGCUCAACGGUCUAUAAUUAUUCAUCAUAACCUUCACCAAGAGCAUUUUCAUCAAUUCACAUUUUUCGAGAAUAUAAUACAUUUAUUAAAGGCACAGGUCAUAACACUAAGGCUAAAUAUUGCAAUACAUAUUGGGAAUGGGGUGUGCUAUCCACACACCCCAUUUUACUUCUCACACACCCCUUGAUAAUUUCUAUCCGUUGAUCUUCUUCAAUUCAUUCGAUCCGACGGCCCAAAAUUAAAAAGGUGUGUGAGAAGUAAAAUGGAGUGUGUGGAUAUCACACCCCAUUGGGAAUUUGAGGAAUUUGAGAUUGGGAAAGGAAGGAAGCUUCAAUUUGGGGAUGGAUUUUGCCUCGAAAUCGGCUUCAACACAUUACCUCAUGAAAUAGUAUUUGAUUUUUCUUAUUUGCCCUUUAAUUCAGUGUCACGUAUGUGACACAUGGUUCAUUUUGACGGAAAUUAUACCGGGGGUUGAUGAUAAUGACUAUAGCUCCAUGUUUUGACGAGUUCAAGGACCAACGACCAUAGAGUUUUAGUUCAGUGACUAUUGCUUCACUUGGAUUAAAAUUCAGGGACCAUUGCUACAAUUUUCACUUAAAAGAAUAGAAUUUCCUUUGAACAAACAAUAUUAUCUACACUAAAGGGUUGGGGAAGUGGGCUAAGCCUCACAAUGAGCUAGCAAUAAUGUAGUUCAAAUUCGCAUUUGGCGAGAAUCAAACCUAAGACCUCUCACUUACAAGUGAAGAAGAAUGCUACUAGAUUGUAAUACUAAGUGGCUUUCUUUACCUCUCACUUACAAGUUACGAACAAAGAGGAAUACCACUGGACAGUAGUAUUAAGUCGCAAAGAGAAGGUAGAAUUAUAUAUAAAUCUAUAUCUAUAUAUAUAAAGUGAGAAAUCCAAAUAGGUGAAGCUUUCAAUAUUCUAAUAAUGUCCUCAUUCAAUAAAAAAGACAACACAAAAGUAACAGCUUAUAAUAGGGGUAACUUAGUGAAAUGAAACACAACACACAUGGGAGAUGCUUACGUGAGAUAUACUUUUUCUGCACUCUUAGCAAAGAUUGUUUGUAUUCCUUGGAGGAGUUAAACCCCCCCCCCCUCAAAGAUUCCUAAAUUUCAUCAAUGAAUGUGUCCCUUUAGAUUAGUGAUCCCACACAAUAAGGAAAAAAAAAGGACAAUGCAAACAACAAUCCGAUUUCUGAUGUAAGCACUCUUCAAUUAUCCAAACAAACGGCAGUUGCAAUGAUAUAACGAUGGAAACUAACAUCAUCAUAUACAACCCACGUUCUGAAAAAGGAGAUUGGGGUGUUCAAUUUCAACCCUUUUUCAGAUUUGCUUUUCCAUCCGCACUUAGUAUUCACCCAUUGGCACCCUAAGCCCAUGCCUCUACCACAAACUCCGUUUUUGCUUUUGGUUCUUUGUAGCUUCCAACAGUGGUUAUCUUGGUUUAUUUUUUGAGUGUUAUUUUCUUAUAACAAUUUAGCUUUUUUUAGUGUUUUUUAUCCUAUUUGGUGCGUUUCCUGGGUUUAUUUUCACCCUCCUUCUGUUUGUGUUUUCUUUAUGCAAACUACUCUUUAGAGAUAAUUAGAUUUGAUGCCUAAUUCUAAUUCUACUAAUCACACGCACGCUUAAAGAUCACUUAACCGCCAUUUCUAAUUUCUUUCAGGUUUGCUCUCUCUUUCAUGCUUUCAUUUCCCAAGCAAGUAUAUAAAAACUACUAAUGUUCAGAUAUUUGUAUCUUUCAUUGCUUUUUAUUACACAAGAUCAUAGACCGAUUCAAAUUCUAUGACAAUAUAUGCUACACCGAUAUUUUCUCUCUCUCUAUUAUUACUUUUCCUUCUAUAAUUUUACUUUUGCAAUUCAGUUGUCAGAUUUGCUGGUGUGUAACCCUUCAGCUGAGGCUUGAAGGCAAAGGAACAAUUCAAACCUUUAGUUUAAUAUUUGUUUCAAGUUUAAAUUAUAACCAUUGGAUUAUAGUCCAUGUGGCUGCUCUCACUUGUAUCUAGCUUAAGUGAUAGAUUAUAACUAGUGGUAUCAUCUCAUAAGGUGAUAGCAAUUAAGGGCUGAGAUUUAGUUUUGCUUGAUGAGUGAAGGAUCUCCUUUCCUCUUCCCUGUAUAACGGUAGCAACCUCACAUGUUUGUUGUGAGGAAUAUUGAAAUCAAUUCCAUCAUCAUUCUCUGAAAUUCUCUGCCAUUUUUUGGUUUUUUGUCAGACCUUCAUCAAGUUUUCAUAGAAGCAUAUCAAAUAUUCCCAUACUCUAACAUGGCCUCAAAGCCAGGUUUCACCAUCUAAACUGGGCGUGAAAUCUGUGAGUGUGAUUAAGCUGCGUUUUGAACUCAAAUCAAAUCUGGAAACUAUGCGAUCUCUUGAAUCCAAUGUCUAACAUGGCUGGAUCAAGUACCGCUGAGCUUAGAGCUUCAGUUUUUAUUAGAGAAAACUACGAGGUUUGGUGGAUUCGUUUGAUGACUAUACUGAAAUCGUAUGGUCUAUGAAAGCUGGAGGAAAAUGGGUAUGAACCUCUACAUUCGAAGUAUGCGAAGGUUGUGCUCGAUGAAAUGAAGAAGGAAGCAACGGAGUUGGUGUCAUUCAUUGAGACCUUGAUGAAAGAUACUCGUGCACUUGGAAUGACCUAAAGAGCUGUGUCGGAUCAAAUCUUCCCCAAAAUUAUGAAUGAAGAAGCAUCCAAAAGAGCUUAGGAUGUCUUGAAGAGUGAAUUUAGAGGAGACAAACAAGUGUAAAAUUGCAAGGGUUACGUAGAGAUUUUUAGUAUACUCAUAUAAAGGAAAUGAAUCUUUAUCUGUGUAUCUCACUAGAUUGUUUGAUAUUACUAAUCAAAUGAGAAGCUAUGGAGAGGAAUUAUCUAGGUAGAGAAUUGUACAUAAAUUGUUAAUUAGUCUUCCUAAAAUAUAUGAUACAAUUUAUUUUUGUGAUUAAGCAUUUUAAGGAUCUCAAAACUCUUGAGGUUCAAGAAGUUGUUGCUUCGCUCAAGGGAUUUGAGUAGAGACUUGAUUUGCAUGUUGAAACCUCUACUGAGAGAGGAUUUGUUAGCCUAAAUGUUGCAGUUAAGGGUCCUAAAAGUGGUGGAUUCUCUGGAAAUCAGAAGUUUCAAAAUAAUUGGAAACCAAGGGGUAGAAGUUCGGAUCACAAGCCUAACUUUGCUCCUAGACAAAACAAUGCUCAGAGAAAUUGGGAUCACAUGCCUAAUUUUGCUCCUAGGCAAAAUAAUACUCAAGAAGAUUGCAAAUGGUGUGAUAUGUUUCACUAUGGGAAGUGCUGGUAUGAAGGUAAAUCAAAGUGCACAUGUUAUGGUAAACCAUGUCAUGCUGUGAAGGAUUGUCAUGAGAACAAAACAGUACAAAAGGCUAAUUAUGCAAGGCAAAUUGGUGAAACAUGAUCAUUGUUCUAUGCCUGCAAUGUAGUGACAUAAGUGAAAGUGAAUAAUUCCUGGUAUAUUGAUAUUGGCUGUAGCAACCACAUGACAGAUGAUAAGAGAUUGCUUGUGAAUGUACAAUGGAACAUGGUUAUUUCUUGGUGUUUGGAUGAGAUGUUGUGAAUGUGAUUGAUGGAUGGUCACUAGACAAUCUAGUGAUUAGAGUGCAAAUGAUCAGUAAUAGAUGUUUUCCAUUGACAAUGAUGCCUGCAAAUCAACUUGUACUAGGAGCAAGUGUCACACAUUGCUCUCAGGUAUGGCAUAAGAGAUUGAGACAUUUGCAUGAGAAAAAUCUCAUAUUGCUUGAAGAACAGGAGAUGGUGCAUAGAUUGCCCUAUUUGGAAAUGUCAACUAGUGCAUGUGAAUGAUGCAUGAUGGAAAAGCAACACAAGGAUUCAUUCCCUUCUGAGUCAGCUUAAAGAGCCAAGUAUCCAUUGGAAUUGAUCCACACAGAUAUCUAUGGUCCAAUUCAGGUUGAUUCUCACUCUUGAAACAAAUACUUUCUGUUAUUCGCAGAUGACUGCACUAGAAUGACAUGGGUGUACUUUCUGAGAUAUAAGUCUAGUGCACUUGAGUGUUUUAAAAAGUUCAAGGCAAUGAUAUAAGUACAAUGUGGUAUAAGGUGAAAUGUCUUAUAAGUGAUAGAGGAGGAGAAUUCCUUUUCGCAGAAUUUGAUAAGUAUUGCAGUGAUCUAGGAAUCCAAAGACAGUUGACUAUAGCCUACAUUCCCUAGCAAAAUGGAGUGUCAGAGAGGAAGAAUAGAACUAUGGUGGAAAUGGCAAAGUAAAUGAUGCAUGAGAAGAAUCUUCCAUAAGUGCAUAAGUGUUUUGGGCAGAAGCAGUGAACACUGCUAUUUACUUGCUUAAUAGAUGUCAUUCCAAAGCUUUCGGAAAAAUAACUCCAUUUGAGGCAUAUAGUGGCAGAAAACCAUGGAUAGCUCACUUGAAGAUCUUUGGUUCACUUAGCUAUGUGCACAUCCCUUCUAAUCUCAGACACAAGUCGGAAGAAACAGUCAUAAAUGCAUCUUUGUAGGCUGUGGUGAAAGAUCAUUCUAUCAAAAGAUGUUACAUUUGAUGAGAAUGCUUCUUGGGAUUGGAACUGCACUACAAACAAUGAAGUAAGAUUUCCAGUACUUAUUGAGCAUCAUAAUGUUACUAAGAUCUAUUAUAUUGGUGAGAGUUCUAAUUCUGAUCAAUUCACUACUAUUCAAAGUGAAAGUAUAACUGAAAGAACUCAAAUAUAUGAUGAUACACUUAAGAAGUGGAGAAGUGUAAGUGAAAUCAUGGCUCAGUGCAAUAUGUGCAUUGUUGAACCUAAAAGUUAUGAUGAUGCAGCCAAAAAUGACUCAUGGAAGACUGCAAUGAAAGCUGAAUUGAAAUGAUAGAGAAUAACAUUUGAUAAGCCAAUCAUUGGUGUAAAAUGGGUCUAUAAAACCAAACUUAAUCUAGAUAGUACAGUGCAGAAGAAUAAGGCUAGAUUGGUGGCUAAAGGUUACUCAUAGAAUCCUGGAAUUGACUACAAUAAGACUUUUGCCCCUGUGGCAAGAUUGGAUACCAUAACAACCUUGAUUGCAUUUGCUGCACAAAAGAAAUGGAGUUUGUACCAGCUGGAUGUGAAGUUUGCUUUUCUCAAUGGAGUUCUGAAUGAGGAAAUGUAUGUUUAGCAACCACAGGGUUCUGUGAAAAAGAAUGAAAAGACUAAGGUGUAUAAACUUAACAAGGCACUGUAUAGAUUGAAGCAGGCACCAAAGGCUUGGUAUGAUGAGAUUGAUGCCUACUUCAACAAUGCAGGUUUCAAGAAGAGCUCAAGUAAGGCAACAUUGUAUGUUAAAACAAGUGAGGACUCAGGUAUCAUUAUUGUCUCCCUAUAUGUAGAUGGUAUUGUGUACACUGGUAGCAGUUCACAAAUGCUGAAAGAGUUUAAAAAUGACAUGAUGAAACACUAUGAGAUGACAUAUUUGAGUUUGUUACAUCAUUUCCUUGGAAUGGAGAUACUACAAACUGAAAAAAAAAAGAAAAAAAAAAGCAUUUUCAUACAUAAAGAAAAGUAUGCAUAGAAGCUGAUUGAGAAAUUUGGGUUAAAAGACUGCAAAACUGUUGCUACUCCACUUGCAGUGAAUGAGAAACAGAGUAAGGUUGAUGGUAGUGAAGCUGCAAAUGAAAGAGAAUAGAGACAACUUGUGGGGAGCUUACUAUACUUGAUAGCAACCAGACCUAAUGUAAUGUUUGCACCAACCUUGCUGGCAAGGUUCAUGCAUAAUCCCACUAAGAAACACAUGGGAACAGCAAAUAGGGUGCCGAGAUACAUUCAAAGAACAAUUAAUUUUGGAAUUGUCUUUGAAAAAGGAAAAGCAACUACUCUAAUUGGUUACUGUGACAGUGACUGGCUGGAAGUGAGGGUGAUAUGAGAAACACUUCAGGCUAUUCAUUUACACUAGGUUCUGGUUUGUUUUCAUGGGCAUCAAUCAAGCAAAGCAUUGUGGCAUUGUCCACAGCAAAAGCAGAAUAUGUAAGUGCUGCAAAAGCCACUUCUCAAGCAAAAUGGCUGAGAUUUGUACUUAAAGAUUUUGGAGAAGAACAAGUGGAAGGAACACAGAUCAUGUGUGAUAACACAUCAGCCAUUGCUAUAGCUAAGAAUCAUGUCUUUCAUCAAAAGACAAGACAUAUCAUCAAAAAGUUUCAUUUCAUCCGAGAAGCAAUUCAAGCCAAGGAGAUUGAACUAGUGUACUGCAAGACAGAGGAGAAAAUUGCAGACAUUCUUACUAAAGCUUUGCCUAAAGAUCAAUUUGCCUAUCUAAGAGAGCUUUUGGGAGUCAAAUCAACUAAAAGGUUAGAAGGGAGUGUUGGUGUGUAACCAUUCAGCCGAGACUUGGAGGCAAAGGAACAAUUCAAACCUUUAGUUUAAUAUUUGUUUCAAGUUUAAAUUAGAGUCGUUAGAUCAUAGUCCAUGUGGCUGCUCUCACUUGUAUCUAGCUCAAGUGAUAGAUUAUAAUAAGUGGCAUCAUCUCAUAGGGUGAUAGCAAUUAAGGGUUAAGAUUUAGUUUUGCUUGAUGAGUGAAGGAUCUUCCUUCCUCUUCCAAGUAUAAAGGUAACAACCUCACAUGUUUGUUGUGAGGAACAUCGAAAUCAAUUCCAUCAUCAUUCUUUGAAAUUCUCUCUGCCAUUUUCUGGUUUUUUGUCAGACCUUCAUCAAGCUUUCAUAGAAGCAUAUCAAAUAUUCCCAUACUCUAACAAGUUUUAGUCUUACUAAUAUUAGUUUGUAAUUUGCAGUUUAUGCAUACUAUUGUUUUAUUCCAUAUUUUGAUUUCUUUCUUCUCUGAUUAAUGAGCAUUCUGUAUCAAGUAUGGAUGUCAUGCUUUAAGGAAUUCGAGUCUCCCUAACUGGUUAUUUGUGUUUGCACAACAAGUAAUCUGUUCACCUUCAAGCAUCACAUGAUGUGCUCUUAUUCAAUUACCUUUCAACCGUUAGAUGAAGCACACCCACACACCCACACAUAGAUAUUAAUCUUAAACAAAGUGCAUUGCAGAUAGUGGACAUAGAAACCGCCAUCCACACAUUUAAGAAGAGAAGAAUGGGUUAAUCAAUUAUUAUCUACCCACAAAUCAUGCAAAAAGGGAGAGAAAAUCGACGAAAUUUUCUGAAGGUCGAAUUUUUAAUUGGUGAAUACUUCAAUCACCAUCCUUAUAUUCUUCUUUCUUUGUAGAAUUACAAAGAAUGAUGGGGCCUCUAGUGUGUAACUGCAAGCUCCGCAAAAAUUUGAAUCACUUUGUUGGUGAUUCCAUUAGGUGUGUGCACUCUUAUUCCAAUAAACAUUGCGAAAGGACACAAAAACAAAAAAAACAAAUCAAGGGAAGUGGACAAUUUGAAAGCAUUCAGAUUGAGUAAUUUUGCGCCUCUUUAGGUAAAGCAACAAACAUUGACAAGGUAGACUAUUUGACUGGAAGUUGCUCAAAAAAUUUUCUUCCCACCCAUGUUGAUGGUAUAUGAUAUGUGAUACUUCGUUUUGUGUUUGCAUUAUUAUCCUUACUCUCAAAUUAAUUGCCACUCAUAUUUGAUGCCAACAUUGUAGUUCCUCUAUCCUAACAUAUUUCCAAAUGUUAUUCAUCCAAUAGUUUUGGAAGCCAUUUUUGCAUCCCCUUAACCCAUUGUUUGUUUUGUUUGGUGAUUACUUUGGUCAUGGUAUCAAUUAAUGAACUAAUCCCCUAACAAAUUGUGUAAUACAAGCAUACUUUUGAAAAACAAAUAUAGUUGAGACGAAAAACAAAUAUAGUUGAGACAAAAAAAAAGGAAAAACAAAUAGAGGACAUCAUUUAGUCGUCAUAUGGGAAAAGAUUGCCCAUUCAUAUACUCUAAGGUUCUUCUUCCUUUUACUAUUUCCAUUUGGUAGAUACCGUAUCAUGCUUUAGAAUUUGAAAAAACAGAGUAAAGAUUCUGUAGAUUUGAGAACUUUUAUUUAUUUAUUGUGUUAAUAUGAUUGUAGACAAAAGCAUUAUAGUAUGUAGUUACUGUAAAUUCUUCUUCGAAGAGGUUAUUUUUUCUAUUGUUUAGAUUUUGGUAACAAAAGCUAAUUUAAACCGAUCCAAAUGUGAACGAAAUCCAAAGUCAAGGGUUUUACAUUUGAUAUUAUCUUUGAUUGAGUUUCUGGUCUCUCUAAUUGGAUAUGACUAUUUUUUUUCUUACUUUUUGUCAAUGUAUGUAUUUUAAAUACUACAAACAAUUUACACUUCAACUCUUAUUUUCAUUUCAAACACUUCGUUUGCAGCUAUGGAAACAAGCAUUAAUGUUGUGGUGGAUUUGAAUUGACACAGCAGUUUCACGUGGAAUGGGAAAGUGUGACAUAUAUGUCAAAGAAAAAAGUAGAUAUUAUGCUACGAAGCCACAUACCCUAUGAACUCAUAUUUAGCAACUUUUAAUAAGAUAAACUAUUCAAAUAGAUUUGAUAGAAGUCAUUCGAAUCUGUGGUACUGUAUGUAUUCUUAGUCUUUACAUAGAUUAAUUGUUUAGUUUGUUCUCUAACACUAUUAUUUGGUUCUUACUUUAUUUCUUCUUUUAUUUAUUACUAAUUUCCAAGAAUGCUUUUGUGCAUGUAAUGAGACUUUCUUUUAUUACGCAUUUUACGCGUAAUUUAAUUAUGUUUUAUUUUCUUUUAUUUGUAACUGUAUGUUGUAUUUUAUCUUUAGGAUGCGGUAUGAGAAAAAAAUAGCUAACAAAACUCAUCUCAUGGGGGAGCUAAAAAAACAUCUCGCAUGCACGUAAGCAGGUACGGAGAGGCUAGUAAGAAUUUAAUAAGGGGGACAAAACCUCCUUUAACCCUCUGGAAAAGGGUAUUUUCCCGAAUUUCCCCUUCUAGAUUCUCUCCGUAAAAGUAACCAACUAAUAACCAUUUUCCAAGCUGCCCAAAACAUAAAACUAACCCAUUCCAAACCUGCAAAAACGAAGAAAACCUAAUGUUUCUCAUUUCCGUUGUCCGCAGCUAAUUAACUUCCUCUUGUUUCCCACAAAUAAAAUAUAAUACCAUCACAACUGCAUUACAUGCACAAGCUUGCAGAACACAAAAAAGUAAGAUCUGAGAAAUAUUGUACGCAUCACAAUGCCAUUAAUGAGCCACAAAUCUUGUAGUCAGCAUGUUGCCGUCUUAGUCUUUCCGUUUGCAUCCCAUCCCAGCCCACUUCUCCUUUUUGUACGUAUGAUUUCGGCGGUAGCCCCUGAUGUGAAGUUUUCAUUCUUCAGCCUAGCUAAAUCUAAUAGCUCCCUCUUCACAAAAUGUAACAUUAAGGGCUUUGACAAUAUAAAGCCUUACGACGUAUGGGAUGGCUUACCAGAAAGUUAUGUGUUUUCUGGGAACCCUCUGGAGCCAAUUGACUUUUUUCUUAAGGCAGCACCAGGCAGCUUUAAGAAAGGUAUCGCAGAGGCUGAGGCUGAGAUUGGGCACAAAGUAGGCUGUUUGAUAUCGGAUGCUUUCCUUUGGUUUGCUUGUGACAUGGCAGAGGAAAUGCAGAUCCCUUGGGUACCCUUGUGGACUUCAGGACAACGCCCUCUGUUUAUUCAUGUUGCUAACGAUGUGAUUAAAGAAAAAUUGGGAGCUAGUGGUAAGAAAUUUUAUUUCAUAGCAGAAUAUUUUAAAGCAGUUUGCAGUUACAUAUAUUUGAUUAUUACACAUGAACAUAUUUAAUACACAGAAAUAUAUUUACAGUCUAGCAAUAUAAUCAUCUGUCUCGCUAUAUACUGAAGAAAAUUGAGGUCCAACCAUAAAACCAAUUGACAAUAUGGAGAGUAACCUAACUACUUAAAAGCACUUGAAAUGUCCCUCCUUUCUCCCAUGUAAGAUUGACUCUCAAGUUCCACCAUAAAACCAAUUGACAAUGGGAAGUGCCCAAACUACUUAUGAGCACAUGCAAGGUGCCUCUUUUCUCAUGUGGGAUUCACUCUCAACAUAUAAAACUGAAAAUGUUUAGAUACGUAAAGCAGAUUAAGUUGAGACUUGAGAUGCAAUCAUCAAAGUUUCAAAACAAUAAAUCUGAACCUUUUUUACUUGUGUUUCUUUUUCUUGGCAGGGGACAAAGAUCAAACCCUUGAAUUCCUUCCUGGAUUUUCAGCAUUCCUUGCAUCCGACUUACCUGGUGGAAUAUCAACAGAAAAUUUAGGAUCCCCAAUUGCAGUUAUGAUGCAUAAAAUGGGACUCAAGCUACCAAGGGCAACUGCAGUUGCCAUAAACUCUUUUCAAGACCUAGAUCUCGAAGUUGCGUUUGAGCUCAAGAAAAAGUUUCAUAAAUUUCUCCAUGUUGGACCCUUAACCCUAACACCACCACUACUACCAAAAAUUUCGGAGGACAACGGAUGCUUAGAGUGGUUAGGUAACCAUAAGCCUGCAUCCGUAGCGUACAUUAGCUUCGGAACUGUAGCAGCACUGCCGCCGCAUGAGCUAGCAGCAUUAGCUGAAGCCCUAGAGGAAGGAGGAUUUCCAUUCAUUUGGUCAUUUAGGGGAAAUGAAAAAGAUUUCCCCGAGGGAUUCCUCGAACGAACAAAACAAAAUGGAAACGGGAAAGUAGUACCAUGGGCUUCCCAAACUCAAAUACUCAACAAUGCCUGCGUCGGAGUUUUUGUGACUCAUUGUGGUUGGAACUCAAUUUUGGAGAGCAUAACCGGUGGCGUGCCAAUGAUAUGCAGGCCUUUUAAGGCUGAUCAGCCACUAAACAUGAGGACUCUAGAGGCUGUGUGGAAGAUUGGGGUGGGGGUCGAGGGAGGAGUUGUGACAAAAAGUGGAGCAAUGAAGGCAUUGCAGUUAUGUUUAUCAAGUAAAGAAGGAAAGGAAAUGAGAGAGAGGAUUAGCGUGUUCAAAGAGUUUGCUGAAGAGGCUGUUAAAUCGUAUGGUCGUACAACUGAAGAUUUAAACACUUUGGUUAACGAAAUAAUAUGUAGACCAAGCAAGCCUAAGUGGUUGGAGUGGGCUGAGGGUUUGAGGAGUUGGGGUGGGUUUUGGUAUCCGGCGGUUUGAUCACUUUUUCUUCCGGUGUAGUGUUCUGGUAUCAGCUAUUGUUCUUAGUCCCAUGGCCUACGCUAAUUAAUGCACGAAUAGGUUCCCUUUUUUUUUCCUUUUUCGUGAAUAGGGAACCUUUCAUUGAUGAGUAAUGAUUUGUCCUCGUACCUAUUUUUGUAAAUCAAACCGAAACAACAUAUAUGAUUAAACAGAGCUGUGUAAGCAAAGAAAAAACAUAUGUGAUUAACAGAGCUGUGUAAGCGAAGAUAAACCACGUGAUUAUGAUUUCGCAUCAUGACAAAAACUGAUACGAAGUUAUGAGAUGAAAAGGCCCCACUGAAACCAUUCCGUAAAAAUCUAUAGAUAGAAAAUCAGGCGAAAGAGAUUGGCAUUUGCAUCCACGCUGUAUAGAGAGGAAAUCGUAGAAUUAUUUAUUUUAAACUUUAUGUAAACUUAUGUAAACUUUGAUUAGUUCAAACAUUUUAAUUUUUUCAGUUUGAACUUCUUUAAGACGGGAAAGGAAUUAGUGUAAGAAAUUUAAAAUAAAUAAUUCUGUGAAUAAAUAAUAAACAAAGAAUUACGUGGUGGUAACAUGCAUGGUAGUUAAAGUCGGUAUAGCUAAGGGUUUUGAUACCUUAAUAAAGUGGUCUUCUCCCUUGCAGAUGCUUAAUAAUUCCUGUUGUUUUAUAACUGGGUGUCUACUAUUUUAAGAUCUGCUAAAUUAUCUAUCUUAAUUAAUGCCCGCCCUUUCCCUAUGUUUUUCUCUUGUUAACGAGGGGUGAGACAAGGGCCCCCUCUCUCCAUUACUUUUUUUGCCUAGUUGAGGAUUUAUCAAGGGUUUGAGUCGACUUCAACUAGUUGGACUCACUAGGCUGAUUUAUGUUUCAAGUGGUUGUGUUUCUCCUUGUAUGUAAUGUAUGUGAAUGACCUAUUCAUUUUAUGCCGAAGUGAUAGGGUCGCUUUGCGUAAUAUGCAAGAUUUCUCAGAUAGCUAUAGUUAGGCCUGGCAAACAGGUCGUGUCUGUUGUGUUCGUAUCGUUUUCGUGUAACACCUGUUAUCUUAACGGGUCGUGUCGUGUCACACCUGUUAUCUUAACGGGUCCUUAACAGGUCGGGUCACUUUACCCAACGGGUAAAGUGACCCGACCCGUUAUGACCCGUUAAGACCCGUUAAGAAAAAUAUAUUUUUUUCUUAAAUUUGCACAUAGCACACAUUACCACAUAAAUAUUACUUCAAAACAUUAAAACAUAUUUGUCAUUUAAGUACUACAUCUACACUAAAAAAACAGAAACUAAUAAAAAACAAGUUUGACUGUUGGAUUGUUAAAAUUAGUUUCAUAGAAUUUGUAUUCCAUCAAAACGAUAGAUUCACCAACACUUAGAGUUUAUUUAUACUUUCAUUAAGUAUAACAUAAGAUUUUGUGGUAUACACUUGUGUAAAUAUUUUAAAUUGACGAUCAAAUUCAUUCAUUGUAUACGUAUAGGGUCAAGGAGUGUAGUUGUAAAAAAUCAUCAAAAUCGGAGUUAAAAUAACCGUUAAAUCGUGAUUUUUUGUUUUAUAACCGUCGAAAAGUUUUGUAUCAUUACUUGAUCUCUAAAUGUUUGUUUUUUGUGAUUUUUGGCGUAUGCGAUCUCGAAGCAUAUACAAACAAGUUUGACGGUUGGAUCGUUAAAAUUAGUUUCAUAGAAUUCGUAUCCCAUCAAAACGAUAGAUUCACUAACACUUAGAGUUUAUUUAUAUUUUCAUUAAGUAUAACAUAAGAUUUUGUGGUAUCCACUUGUGUAAAUAUUUUAAAUUGACGAUCAAAUUCAUUCAUUGUAUUCGUAUAGGGUCAAGGAGUGUAGUUGUAAAAAAUCAUCAAAAUCCGAGUUAAAAUAACCGUUAAAUAGUGAUUUUUUUGUUUUAUAACCGUCGAAACGUUUUGUCUCAUUUCUUGAUCUCUGAAUGUUUUUUUUUUUUUUUUUUGGCAUAUGCGAUCUAGAAGCAUAUACAAACAACUUUGACGGUUGGAUCAUUAAAAUUAGUUUCAUAGAAUUCGUAUCCCAUCAAAACUAUAGAUUCACUAACACUUAGAGUUUAUUUAUACUUUCAUUAAGUAUAACAUAAGAUUUUGUGGUAUCCACUUGUGUAAAUAUUUUAAAUUGACGAUCAAAUUCAUUCAUUGUAUUCGUAUAGGGUCAAGGAGUGUAGUUGUAAAAAUCAUCAAAAUCGGAGUUAAAAUAACCGUUAAAUCGUGAUUUUUUGUUUUAUAACCGUCGAAACUUUUUGUAUCAUUACUUGAUCUCUAAAUGUUUGUUUUUUGUGAUUUUUGGCAUAUGCGAUCUCGAAGCAUAUACAAACAAGUUUGACGGUUGAAUCAUUAAAAUUAGUUUCAUAGAAUUCGUAUCCCAUCAAAACUAUAGAUUCACUACCACUUAGAGUUUAUUUAUACUUUCAUUAAGUAUAACAUAAGAUUUUGUGGUAUACACUUGUGUAAAUAUUUUAAAUUGACGAUCAAAUUCAUUCAUUGUAUUCGUAUAGGGUCAAGGAGUGUAGUUGUAAAAAAUCAUCAAAAUCGGAGUUAAAAUAACCGUUAAAUCGUGAUCUUUUUUGUUUUAUAACCGUCGAAAUGUUUUGUCUCAUUACUUGAUCCCUGAAUGUUUGUUUUUCGUGAUUUUGGCGUAUGCGAUCUCGAAGCAUAUACAAACAAGUUUGAUAGUUGGAUCGUUAAAAUUAGUUUCAUAGAAUUCGUAUCCCAUCAAAACUAUAGAUUUACUAACACUUAGAGUUUAUUUAUACUUUCAUUAAGUAUAACAAUAGAUUUUGUGGUAUCCACUUGUGUAAAUAUUUUAAAUUGACGAUCAAAUUCAUUCAUUGUUUUCGUAUAGGGUCAAGGAGUGUAGUUGUAAAAAAUGAUCAAAAUCCGAGUUAAAAUAACCGUUAAAUAAUGAUUUUUUGUUUUAUAACCGUCGAAAAGUUUUGUCUCAUUACUUGAUCUCUGAAUGUUUAUUUUUUGUGAUUUUUGGCGUAUGCGAUCUCGAAGCAUAUACAAACAAGUUUGACGGUUGGAUCGUUAAAAUUAGUUUCAUAGAAUUCGUAUCCCAUCAAAACGAUAGAUUCACUAACACUUAGAGUUUAUUUAUACUUUCAUUAAGUAUAACAUAAGAUUUUGUGGUAUCCACUUGUGUAAAUAUUUUAAAUUGACGAUCAAAUUCAUUCAUUGUAUUCGUAUAGGGUCAAGGAGUGUAAUUGUAAAAAAUCGUCAAAAUCGGAGUUAAAAUAACCGUUAAAUCGUGAUUUUUUUUUUAUAACCGUCGAAACGUUUUGUAUCAUUACUUGAUCUCUAAAUGUUUGUUUUUUGUGAUUUUUGGUGUAUACGAUCUCGAAGCAUAUACAAACAAGUUUGACGGUUGGAUCGUUAAACUUAGUUUCAUAGAAUUUGUAUCCUAUCAAAACAAUAGAUUCACUAACACUUAGAGUUUAUUUAUAUUUUCAUUAAGUAUAACAUAAGAUUUUGUGGUAUCCACUUGUGUAAAUAUUUUAAAUUGACGAUCAAAUUCAUUCAUUGUAUUCGUAUAGGGUCAAGGAGUGUAGUUGUAAAAAAUCAUCAAAAUUGGAGUUAAAAUAACCGUUAAAUUGUGAUUUUUUGUUUUAUAACCGUCGAAACGUUUUGUCUCAUUACUUGAUCUCUGAAUGUUUGUUUUUUGUGAUUUUUGGCAUAUGCGAUCUAGAAGCAUAUACAAACAAGUUUGACGGUUAGAUCAUUAAAAUUAGUUUCAUAAAAUUCGUAUCCCAUCAAAACUAUUGAUUCACUAACACUUAGAGUUUAUUUAUACUUUCAUUAAGUAUAACCUAAGAUUUUGUGGUAUCCACUUGUGUAAAUAUUUUAAAUUGACAAUCAAACACAUUCAUUGUAUUCGUAUAGGGUCAAUGAGUGUAGUUGCAAAAAAUCAUCAAAAUCGGAGCUAAAAUAACCGUAAAAUCGUGAAUUUUUGUUUUGUAACCGUCAAAACGUUUUGUAUCAUUACUUGAUCUAUAAAUGUUUGUUUUUUGUGAUUUUUGGCGAUGCGAUCUCGAAGCAUAUACAAACAAGUUUGACGGUUGGAUCAUUAAAAUUAGUUUCAUAGAAUUUGUAUCCCAUCAAAACUAUAGAUUCACUAACACUUAGAGUUUAUUUAUACUUUCAUUAAGUAUAACAUAAGAUUUUGUGGUAUACACUUGUGUAAAUAUUUUAAAUUGACGAUCAAAUUCAUUCAUUGUAUUCGUAUAGGGUCAAGGAGUGUAGUUGUAAAAAAUCAUCAAAAUCCGAGUUAAAAAUAACUGUUAAAUCGUGAUUUUUUUGUUUUAUAACCGUCAAAAAGUUUUGUCUCAUUACUUGAGGUCUGAAUGUUUGUUUUUCAUGGUUUUGGCAUAUGCAAUCCGGAAGCAUAUACAAACAAGUUUGACGGUUUGAUUGUUAAAAUUAGUUUCAUAGAAUUCGUAUCCCAUCAAAACUAUAGAUUCACUAACACUUGGAGUUUAUUUAUACUUUCAUUAAGUAUAACAUAAGAUUUUGUGGUAUACACUUGUGUAAAUAUUUUAAAUUGACGAUCAAAUUCAUUCAUUGUAUUCGUAUAGAGUGAAGGAGUGUAAUUGUAAAAAAUCAUCAAAAUCGGAGUUAAAAUAACUGUUAAAUUGUGAUUUUUUGUUUUAUAACCGUCGAAAAGUUUUGUCUCAUUACUUGAUCUCUAAAUGUUUGUUUUUUGUGAUUUUUGGCGUAUGCGAUCUCGAAGCAUAUACAAACAAGUUUGACGGUUGGAUCGUUAAAAUUAGUUUCAUAGAAUUCGUAUCCCAUCAAAACUAUAGAUUCACUAACACUUAGAGUUUAUUUAUACUUUCAUUAAGUAUAACAUAAGAUUUUGUGGUAUACACUUGUGUAAAUAUUUUUAAUUGACGAUCAAAUUCAUUCAUUGUAUUCGUAUAGGGUCAAGGAGUGUAAUUGUAAAAAAUCAUGAAAAUCGGAGUUAAAAUAACCGUUAAAUCGUGAUUUUAUGUUUUAUAACCGUCGAAAAGUUUUGUCUCAUUACUUGAUCUCUGAAUGUUUGUUUUUGUGAUUUUUGGUGUAUGCGAUCUCGAAGCAUAUACAAACAAGUUUGACGGUUGGAUCGUUGAAAUUAGUUUCAUAGAAUUCGUAUGUUAUCAAAACGAUAGAUUGACUAACACUUAGAGUUUAUUUAACUUUCAUUAAGUAUAACAUAAGAUUUUGUGGUAGCCACUAAUGUAAAUAUUUUAAAUUGAAAAUCGAAUUUAUUCAUUGUAUUCAUAUAGGGUCAACCUGUAUAGCUGUAAAAAAUCAUCAAAAUCGGAGUUAAAAUAACCGUUAAAUCGUGAUUUUUUGUUUUAUAACCGUCGAAAAGUUUUGUCUUAUUACUUGAUAUCUGAAUGUUUGUUUUUUUGUGAUUUUUUGCUGAUGUGUUAUCGAAGCAUAUACAAACAAGUUUAACGGUUGGAUUGUUGAAAUUAGUUUCUUGUAUCCCAUCAAAUUCAAUGGUGUGUGUGUAUAUAUAUAUUAUGUAGAUUUAAAUCUAUUUAUUUUGUACGUAUAAUUAUUAUAGUUUUUAGGGGUAUAAAAUUUAAUUUAAACUUUAAUAUAUAUACACAUAUAAUUAUUAUAGUUAAUAUUUUGGGGGUAUAAUUAUUUUAGUUAAGAUUUUGGGGGUAUAAUUAUUAUAGUUAAUUUAAUAUAUAUAUAUAUAUAUAUAUAAUUAUUAUAGUUUUAAACCUUUUAGGGGUAUAAAAUUGUUAAAUUAAUAUAUAUAAUUAUUAUAGUAUUUUUUAGGGUUAUAAAAUUAUUAAAUUAAUAUUCUGCUUAUCGUGUAUCGUGUUACCCACGUGUAUACCCGAACCAACCCGUUAUCUUAACAGGUGCUUAUCGGAUUACCCGAUAACACCCGAUUCAUUAUUGUGUCGACCCGAACACCUGUUAAUUUCGUGUCGUGUCGUGUUGGGUUAUCAAGUCGUAUCAGGAAUUGCCAAGCCUAGCUAUAGUAGAGCCUCUAGUCAAUUAUCAAUAAGGAUAAAUUAUUAUUAUUAUUUUUUAUUUGGGUUCACUUCAAGGUAUCGUAAAGUUGUGGUUGAGCUCUUCUUGGAGUUCAAAUAUGAUAAAGCUCCAUUUGUGUACUUAGGAGCUCUUAUCUUUUGUGGCAAGCCGAGGAGGUGUUACCUUCAAGCCUUGGCAGAUAAAGCUAACACUAUUAGAAAAUAACAUUUGCCGGAUGAACAAAAUUUCAUUGGAUAGAUAAACUAAUUUAACUGACGGAAUUUAGAUGUUCGUCGAGCAAAAACGCUCAACAUUUUGAUGUACUUUAUUAAUUGUUGUGUGUAUUAAUUAUUGUUUCUAUUAAUCUAGAUACCUUCAAUAAUUAUUGUACUUAUUAUUCCACACUUUGAUGUAGAGUAGAUGCCUUCAAUAAUUCAACCUCCAUUCAAUAAUUUAUCCAAUGUACUAUACAAAAUACUUUGCACAAGAAGACACUUAAAUUUAUUACUAGAAAAUAUGAAAAUAGUACACUUAAAAUUAUUACAUAAAUGUUCAACCAACAUCAUCAACGUUCACCUUCUCGGCGCCAUACAUGCUCAACCAAAUCCUUGCGGAGUGUGUCAUGCCCUUGAGGAGCUUGAAUUCUAUUUAAACAUCUCAAAUACUCAUUCAAUGUGACCAUAUCCUGUCGAGUCUCAUAUGUGGUUUCAGCGAGAUAUUCAACAUCUCUUGCAAUAGCUCUAGCAUGUGUUGGUUGGUCAUCAUCCACAUCUUUGUCUGAAUCUUCUUCAAUUUAGAUGUACUCAUCUUCCACAAUCAUGUUGUGCAAAAUUAUGCACGUCAUCAUGAUUGAAUGGAGGUCUUCGGUAUGCCAAAUUCGUGCAGGCCCUCUAACAAUGGCCCAUCGAGCUGGUAGGAUCCUGAAUGCUCUUUCCACAUCCUUCCUGUAAGACUCUUGCCGCUGCGAAAAUAAUUUCUUCUUUGCACUAUCGGGAUGAGAAAAACUUUUGACAAAGGUAGACCAACUAGGAUAAAUACUAUCAAUUAGGUUGUAACCUUACUCAUACCUAUUACCAUUUACCUUGUACCGAAAUUCUGGUGCCCAUCCAUUGACAACAUUAUCGAACAGAGGAGAAGACCAAAGAACGUUGAUAUCAUUGUUUGAUUCAGGAGUGCCGAAGAAUGCAUGCCAAAUCUAUGUGUCGUAAGACGCCACAGCCUCGAGCACGAUGGUUGGCCUGUUAUGAUGAUCCUUGAAUAGGCCAGCCCAAGUAGUAAGACAAUUCUUCCACUCCCAAUGCAUACAAUCGAGACUUCUUAUCAUGCCAGGGAAGCCUCUUUUGUCUGCCUUGCGUAGAAGCCUCUUCAAGUCUUCACAAUUUGGCUUGCGAAGGUAUGUGGCUCCAUAUAUGGCUUGAAUUGCAUGACAAAAGCGCUUCAGGUUCUCAAUAGCAGUACUCUUCGCAAGUCAGCAAUACUCGUCAGUUGAGUCUGCAGAGCACCCAUUAGCUAGCAUCCGAAAUGCGGAAGUGAGCUUUUGAUAAAGUGAUAGACUUUGUCGGCAUACGACAUUUAUCUUCCUUGCAAAGUAGUGGUCAUGAAUGACAAAUGCGUUCAAGAUGCUAUCAAAAAGCUUUCUCCUCAUCCAGAAAAUCGCCUUCGAAAAUCAUGAGCAGGAAAUCUCGGAUACUUGAUGAAAUAAUCUUUCAUUAUUCAGUCAUGACACUCUUUUCUAUCACGUUGCACAAAUGAACGCCCCAUCAUAGAACCACGAUGGCUAGAUUUAGCAUGGUGCUCAUAUUGUAUAAGCGAGUUUGCAAGUUCAACUUAGGCAUUAAUCAUUUUAGCAUCCUCAAUGUCAAGCAUUGCUUGGAAUUGUGCCAUCUGCAUUGCCCUGCUAUGCCUUCUUUUAUCACCCAUUGAUGAGAUAUUAAGGAUUUUUAGGAAACAAAAUCACUUUGAAAGUUGAAAGAUUGGUGAAUAUAGAGGAUGAUUGAAGGUUGAAAGAUUGUGUGAUCAAUUGAUAUUGGAUCUGUGUUUAUAUAGAGGAUAAAAGUUGAAUGGUUGGUGAAAGUUUAAAGUUUGGUGAAAGUUGAACGGUUGGUGAAAGUUGAAAGUUUGGUGAAAGUUAAACGAUUGGUGAAAGUUGAAGGCUUGCUUUGUGGAAAGAUUUAGUGAUUUUUCACAAUUUAUCGGAAUUUAAAUAUUUUUAGAUUAAAAUGUUCAUAAAAUUAAUUUACGAUAGUCUACAUAAUUUUUUAAUUAAUUUAAGAAAAAAAAUUAGUCUAAGUUCAUUCUUUAAUAAUCUCGAGCUAAAAUUUUAGGCCAGAAGGGUUAGAUCAGAAAAGUUGUUUCUAGGCUAAAAGCUAAAUUUUUCGAGCUAAAAAAUUUUCCUUUUAGCCCAAGGGUUGGAGAUGGUCUUAGGAAGGGCAAGCUCUACUACUUGGAGUUGACAUCAAACAAUACCAGAAUAUUGACUCAACCUCUUGCAAUGAAAAGAUCUCAAAGGGAGAAGAAUAAAGCUUCGGAGGUUUGGUAUGGCAUCGUCGACUUGGACAUGCUUCUUUCAAUUAUUUACAGAGGUUGUUUUCUAGCCUAUUUGUAAAGCAUGAUGUUUCUAGCUUUAAAUGUGAUAUUUGUGAACUGGCUAAAAGUUAUCGUACUUCGUUUUUUCCUAGUAUGACUAAAAGUUUCAUUCCUUUUAUGAUAAUCCAUUCUGAUGUUUGGGGACCAUCUAAAACUACUACAUUUGGUGGGAUCAUUGGUUCGUUACUUUUAUUGAUGAUUGCACACAUAUGACUUGGGUUUGUUUGAUGAAGUUCAAAAAUGAAGUUACUUCUUUGUUUCAGUAAUUUCACAAAAUGGUGCAAGUACAAUAUAAGUCACAAAUACAUGUUCUUAGGAGUGAUAAUGGUGGCGAGUAUGUAAACAAUGAGCUUCAUGCCUUUCUUGAUCAUCAUGGUAUUGUUCAUCAAUCUAUAUGUCCAAACACUCCUUAAAAAAAUGGGGUUGCAGAACGUAAGAACCGUUAGCUUCUGGAAGUUGUUCGUGCUUCCUUGCUUAAGGCUCGUCUUCCGUGAGCUAUCAUAUUAGGGAGAAGCUCUCACUUCAGCUGCAUAUCUCAUUAAUCAUAUUCCAUCUCGAUUGAUUAAUUUUCAGACACCGUGUCAUCCUCUCGCCUCCCAUGUCGAUGCUCCUGCAAUUCCCAAUCUCCCACCUCACGUGUUCGGUUGUGUUGCAUACGUUCAUCUUCAUAAGCAACAGAAGAGUAAGCUUGAACCUCGGGCCUUGCGGUGUGUGUUUAUGGGGUAUGACAUUUUAUUCCAUAUACAGUUAUUAUGAAUGGUUUGGAUUCAAGUGGUAAUGUUUUGGAAACAAGUGGUGACCAUUCAAAAGAAAAUAAUGUUGUGAAUGACUUGGAAUUAAGUGGUAAUGUCUUGGAGAUAAGUGGUGAUCAUUCACAUGAAAAUAAUAUGAAUAACUUAGAAUUAAGUGGUAAUUCAUUGGAGACAAGUGGUGAUCAUUCACAUGAAAAUAAUGUUGAAAACCUUGAAAGAGAUGAGCUUACAUUGCCGAACAGCUCACUGCCAACUUCCGUACCACUAGCUUCCUCACUGCCUUCACAGUUGGCCUCACCGUCUUUGAGCCCCAAUAACCAUAAUCAAUCUCUUUCGAUUCCAGAUGCACCACCACCACCACCAUGUCGUGUCCCUAACCGUGUCAACCGAGAUAUUCCUAAACCCACUUACGAAGCUGAUCAUAAAUGCAAAACUAGGUAUUUGGUGAGUAAGCCCAACCUUGAGCCUAAUGUGUUUAUGUGUCUACUAGUCACCUGUCAGACUCAAAUAAGUCAUUUGUGUAUCAAUUAUCUAUUGUAUCUAUUCAUAACAAUGUGUAAGAGGCUUUAGCCAAUCCACGUUGGCAAGCAGUAAUGAAUGAAAAGUUGAAGUCUUUGAAGAAUAAUGCUACCUGGGAGAUCACAGACUUGACAACUGGUAAGAAACAUGUGGGAUAUGAUAGGAGCAUAUUUAUGAGACUUAGUUAGCUUGUUUCUUGGCAUUUAUGUUGUUAGUUCGUAAUUAUUUUAGUAUUUUAAGCUAUUUUCGUGUGUUUGUAGGUCCAAAGGGUUAAUGUGGCAAAGAAGUGCAUUUUGGAGCAUUUUGGAGCAUUUUUGGGCAUGGAAUGGAUAACAUAUGUUUGGAGCAAAAUGAAUGGACGAAAUUUGAAGUUUGUGCAUCAUCCUCUCCCUAUAAAUAACCAUUUUAGCACACUCAUUUCACCCAACACAUCCACUCAUUACAACCACCCAACACAUUCACCUACCACUACAUCCACUCAUUUCACCCAACACAUCCAUUCACCUACCACUACAUCCACUGAUUUCACGCAACACAUCCACUCAUUUCAACUACCCAACACAUUCACCUAUCACUACAUCCACUCAUUACCACCACCCACUACAUCCUCUCCCUAGCUUAUAAAUAUAUCUAUCCAAAGACACAUUUGGGGGGAUAGUUUAGGGAGAAGGGAGGAAGACACAUUCUACUGUAAGGCAGAGUCUUUUCUUCUUAACCAUUCUACACAUUCCCACAACAAAAACAUAAUUCCAUGCACCUUCAUUUCCCUUUCCUUGCCAUGACCUCCAUCCAACCUAAACACAUUCAGCCAUUCCCUUCUAUAUAUAUCCAUAUGCAUCCAUCAAACCACACCUUGUGCCGCAAUAAAGAGAAGAAGGAGGACCCUUGGAUGUGCUUGCCAUUCAAGUUGGAUUAUUGGAGCGUUUUUAGGUGUUUUCAUUCUUUUGUUUUCAAUGUCUAAAUUUGUUUAUCUUUGCUUUGUGAGUAUGAGGAACUAAACCCCCCUUAGCUAGGGGGCAAUUCAAAGCCAUGAACAUACUUGCAAUAUGAAUUGAUUACCCUCAGUUGUGAUUUCAUAAGUUGUGAAUUCAAUUUGUUUAAUUGCUUGAUUGAUAACUUAUUCGUGUAUGUUUAUUAAGAGUGCACACUUAGUUUGCAUGCAUGAAUAUGAUGCUAGAGUAUAAGGGAGUUUCACCUAAUAGUUACAAACUUAUAUUCACAAGUAGUGGAGGUCGCUUAUAAACGAUCGCGUGAAAUGAAUUCUUGGUAGGAGUUUCAUGUUCAUCAUAGUAACGAAUGCCUCGUCAAUACUUAUAGUUUUCAUAAUGCUUAAUGAUCUUUGAUUGUAUCUUUAUUGUGCUAUUCACGAAAAGGACUUUUGAAGAAUGCUUGAAUUGUUGUAUGUGCUUUCCCAUCCAAUUCAAUAACUUAAGGAGAACUUGAAGGUUAAUUUAAGCGGACUUAAUUAACCUGGGGUGUUGAGCUUCAUGAUUUAUCGAAAGAACAACUGAAAAUUGGUUUAUGUGCAAGUGUGUCAUGUGUGGAGAAGAACCCUCUAGCUAGCCCAUCAUCCAUAGUUUACCCAAAUUCGUCCAAAAUCUGUUUUAGUUUACAAUCUGUUUGUUUUGUUUUCAAAUUCGUCAAAAUCAAAUCCCCCUUUACUUUAAAGUGUUUUAUUAGUCAAAAUAUGUUUUGAUUUGUGUUUUUAAGUGUCUUGAGUCAAGUUAGAACCUAAUUUCAUCCAAACCCAUCCCUAGAGUCAGUUUAGAGUCUAAUUCACUGUUUUAAGCUGUUUUGAGUCUUUUAAACUGGUUUUGAGUCUUUUUAGUUUGUAUUGCAUCUUUUGAGUCUAGUUUGGUGUUUUAAACUUAAUUCUACAUUUUAAGUCAGUUUCAGGUGUUUUAGCAAUCCCUCAUAAUCCCCGGUCUAGAACGAUCUCUACUUACAUUCUUUACUACAAUUGACAACAAGAGGGUUUAAUUUAUGUGUUAAGUUAAUUUUCGCAUCAAAUUUUUGGCGCCGUUGCCGGGGAUUAGCAACUUUGCUAAUCCCUUGUUAUUUAUUUUUGUAUAUUUUCGUGUCUUUUGUUUUUAGUACUGACUUUGUUUCUGUUUGUGUUUUUUUUUUUGUUUGUUUUACUUUUGAUAGUUGAUUUAGUUUUGUUUCCUUGAUUUCAGGUACUAGAGAAGUAAGGCAUGGAUUUUGCUACCAUUCAAGCUCAACUGGCGAAACUUACUUCUCAAUUGUCACAAUAUCCCGAAAAGACCACAAUGCAAAGUGUCCCUACAUAUGGUGUGUCCUAUGGCCAAGGAUAUCCAACUCAUCAAUGUUCUCAAUUCGCUAUGAAUGAAGAUGUUUGGGGUUAUCAAGGCCAUAGCCAAUCAUGGGACAACAUGUUUUCCAACGCUUACAAUUCGGAUUGGAGAGAUUAUUCAGAUUACAUGUGGGGAGAACCUCAACAAUUCCAAUAAGAUAGAUAUUGGCAGCAAGAAGAGGAGUUCUAUUCAAGACCUAUGCAGCCACCACAACCUCCCCUACAACAAUUCCAAUCAAAUUCAAGUAUGCCUAUGAGUUAUGAUGAAAUUAUUCUUGAUGUACUAACCUCGUUGACGCAUGGCUCACAACAAGAAGAAUAUUUCCGCCAUCGGAUGAGUUCUAUCACUGGCCAUAUGAACCAUCAUAGCCACCACAACAAUCUGCCUAAUUCAAUUUAGGUAUGUCUUUGGAUAAUGAUAUGUUUAAUAAGUUACUCACCUCUUUGAAUCAGGAAGUAGAAAAUCGAAACAAAGAGAUGCAAAAUCAAGCCAAGAAGACGGGUGAAUUGGAGAAGCAAAUUGGGCAGAUUAUGAAGUUCAUGGCACAAAUUCAAGAACAAAGUGAACUCUCCAACUCAACUAUUGAAAUUUUGAAGGAAGAUUUUGAAAUCCAUGAUGCUAUCACUUUGGGAAGUGCUAUGGAGGUUGGAGGUGAACCCAAGACAUCCAAACCAAGUCAAAACAUGGAUGAACAGCUGCUGCUCGAAGAAGAUGAGAAUAACAAGGCCACGGCAAGGGAAGAACCACCCUUGCCUCAGCCCUAUAUGCCCUCUAUGCCAUCCACUACAACCAAGGUAAGCCUAAAUUCAAUUUGUCCUGACCCCGUUUCACCAAAUGUCCUUAUUCCUUGCAGGAUCAUGCAAUCCAAGGAAGAAGAGGGUGAGAAAGGCAUCUUCAAAACCUUUCCAAAAAAUCAAGAGCAAGAAGUGGAUGGGGAAUGUCUAGAAUUCAUCAAAGAAGAUACACUUGAGACGAAAAUUCCCAAAGAAGUUGGAUUUUAUGACACGGGAAAAGUCAUAACUCUCAAAACACCAAAUUUGGCCAAGUCCCAUAUCCCUGAUGUGGUGUUCGUAAUUGAGUUUGUGUUGGAGCAAGCAAGUAAGCCAUCUUCUCCAACUUUGAUUUUAUUAUAUACUAACUUGCUGAUUUUGAUGAUUCAGGCACCUACACUAGAAUUUAAACCAUUGCCGGAUCACAUCAAGUAUCACCUUCCAUUCAAGGAUCAAUUCCAUGCUAUGGGCCCUAUCCAAGUUUAUAAGGAAGUUUCGUCCGGCUGGAAGACGUUAAAGCAAACGCUUCUUAGGAGGCAACCCAUGUAUUCAAAUAAGGAAGAUUUUUGAAUUGCUCCACAAUUGGUUUUGCGUUCUUAAAAACCUUCCCUUUUCUGCAGUUUUAUUUUGCCAUGAUUGUCAUUUUUAUUUGUUGCUUGUUUAAUUGUUUUUGGUGUGGGUUUAUUUUUGAAACAUUGACAGAUAUGCAAGGUAUUUUACAUUCAUUUUCAUAAAAAAAAGGGAACAUUAAGCAAAAAAAUACAAGAGAGAGCCUUCACAAAGGCUGCUUAGGAAAAGUCUCAGUAGUCGGCGGAGCUUCAGCAGUCAGCGGAGCCCCAGAAGGAGGAGGCAUCGAAGGUUGAUCAUUUGGAGCUUCAUUCGUGGUACAACCCAAGAAGACAAAGGCAAAUGCUGUUGGAACAAACCCACAAACCUCUGAUGAUCAAGUAAAAUCUGACCAUCAGAUUCCUGCAUCUGGUCAAUCUUCCUCUUCAUGUUUAUAGCAUAGUUAUGUGCGAGCCUGUGCAACUGUUUAUUCUCAUGCUUGAGCCCUCUAAUCUCCUGUUUGAGACUCAUCACUUCAGCCGCCAACGAUUCAACUUGACGGGUGCGAGCAAAUAGGCGCUGGGCCAUAUUAGACACAGAACCUGCACACUGCACACUGCACACUGAGAGCUAGAGAAUCCUUAAUAGCCAACUUAUCAGACCGUUUGGAAAACAAUAUGUUAUUUUUGGGAAUGACAAGGUUCCGGGCCACUACCACAGUGGUCAUAUCAUUCUGAAGGAUAAAUUUUGUCCUAGCUAAGAACAUGUGAGAAUAUUUGAACACAUAUGCAAAAUAUUAACACAUUAAAGUAGGCAUGCAUUCAAAAACAAUUCUAAAACCCAUGACUUUCAAAGCCUAGUGAAUGGUGAACCAAGAGACUCUUUAACAACAUUAAAGAGAAAGAAGGUUUUAGAGAUUCAUUACCCUUGAAGCUCAUCCUUGUUUACACAAGGGAUUCACCCAAGUGGAGGGCCUUCAAGUCACCUCCUAGCUCCUUGGAUCUUCCUUCUGAUUUCCUUCCUUUUGAUGCUCCUUUGCUCCUUGAGGAUGUGAGGAAAGGAUCUCCAAAAACACCAAAGAUUUGGUGUUUCUAAGUCUCCACACCAAGGAUGAGGUGUGAAGAUAAAAUGGAUGACUUAGAGAAGAAAAGAUUGCUAGCUAAAUCCUCUUUAAGUGGCCGGCCUCCUUGUAGAGAAAAAGAGAGAAAGUGUUUCACCUCUUUGCCUCAAGAAAACCCUAAUGAGAAAAUAGCUAUAAAGUUAACUUUAUACUACAUCACAUUUGAGUGGCAAACUUGUAAUUAAUUCAAGUUUGCAUCCACUCACCCUUAUGGCCGGCCUUGUCUUUGUUAUUGGGCUAAUUGCCCAUUUUGUUUUAGUUGUCAUACAACUUAAACAUAAUGGGCUUUGUGGGCCAAAACACUUUUGGGCCCCGAAACCUAAAACCAACUUAAAAGCCCAAUACGAACCUUUCGUAAAAUUAAUUAACUAAUUAAUUAAUCUUGACCAUUCUCAAUUAAACCAUUUAAUUGCUUAUCCAUCUCAUUUAUAUUUCUUCACUUUCAUCACUUUCAUCCUUACACGGUGUACGAUCCAUUAGGUUCCAAUUUGCGAGGCAGUAGGCGAUUGUUACUCUUAACGAUCGAUUGUGAAUUGAAACAACAUUUCAAUUCUCCCUUUGUUGAAGAUUAGCAUUUGCUAAUCUUCAGGGCUUCCACAAACCAUGAGUGACACCUAGCAGCAUGUCAUGGCUACCCAAGCUAAAUAGAAUUGGUUGGAGAACCUAUCCAGUUACAAUUUGAAUGCAAUACGGUCAUUCUCUAAUACAAUACUCUUAAUCAUAUUGUUUGAGUGAUAGUUUGUUUCAUGUCUACUAUCCAAUGUAAUACUUAUCUAUAUGAUUCAAUUGAAUAUGAUUUGGAACAUAUUUCCUAAGUCAUAUUCGUAUGCUUUGGCCAAAGACUCCUGAAUCAUAUCUUAGAGUAUUCUCCUUCCACUAUGGAAGGUUAGAGAUCCCUUGUUGUGCAUUCAUAUGCCUACAUGACUAGAUAGCUUGACCCCAACAAUGCCGUGGACACUCUUGAUGGAAUGCCUUUGACAUGAUCAAAGAUCAAGGACCUAACCAUUAGACAUCUAUGAUGCCUCAGGUCAAAGGACUACUUUGCAUAUUGCAACUUUAGAGUUCUUACAUGACAUGUAUGUUCGAACUCUCUUUUAAUCGUUGUUCAGUGUACUCGAUUACUCUUUCAAGCACCUACGUGUUUGUCUUAGUGUCCAACACUAAAUGACUUGAGACUAGUCAUACUCACGCUUGAGUUGACAUAACACAUACUAACCUUGGUGGAUUGUCAAUGCCCAUUUGGCAAUCCUAUGGCUAGGAACGUUUUAGGAAUGAACAUAAGAGAAAGGUCUCGUUAAUCUAACUUACUUAAAUCACUUCUCUCUUAGAUCAAAUACAUUCCUUAGAUUCCCUUAUUGCUUAAACACAUGAUACAAUAAAUAGUGAUUAACAAUAAGCUUUGCCCUUCAUUAAACAUAUAAUAGUUUAAUACAUUAAGUAUUCCAAAAGCUAUUACAUCAAAUGAGUGGCUUUGUGGGCAUACUUCCAACAAUCUCCCACUUGCACUCAAAGCCACCUUCCCAUGUAUCUAAUACCCAUCUUUUCCAUAUGGCGGUCAAGUUGGAUUUGAGACAUUGGCUUUAUCAGUGGAUUUGCUACGUUAUCUGCUGAGGCAACCUUGAGGAUGUUGACUUUCCCCUCGGCAGCAUAUCUUCUAAUGAUAUUAAAGCGCCUGUCAAAAUGCUUGUUCUUUUGAUGAGUCCUGGGUUCCUUGGCUUGAGCUAUCGCCCCACUAUUAUCACAGUACAAAGUUACUGGUGAUGUAAUGGUUGGAACCACUCCAAGUUCAGUAAUGAACUUCUCAUCCAGAACUCUUCUUUGCCGGCUUCAGCUGUAGCGACAUAUUCUGCCUUCGUCGUGGAAUCAGCAAUUACAUCUUGUUUCUUGCUUUUCCAGCUAACAGCCCCACCAUUUAGAGUGAAUACAUAUCCAGAGUUGGAACUUCUAUCAUCGACGUCAGAUUGGAAAUCUGCGUCUGUAUAGGCUUCCACUUGUAACUCUGUUGCUUCUCCAUAAACGAGGAACAUGGCCUUAGUUCUUCUUAAGUACUUAAGGACCGUCUUGACAGCUGCCCAGUGUUCUGAUCCUGGGUUAGAUUGAUAUCGACUAGUAAUGCUCACAGCAUAUGCGAUAUCAGGCCUUGUGCAUAUCAUGGCAUACCUGAGACUUCCUAUGGCGGAAGCAUAAGGAAUAGCACUCAUCUGCCGUAUCUCUUCAGGAGUCUUAGGUCCCAUGGACUUAGAAAGGUGAAUUCCAUGUCUCACAGGAAGAAGACCUUUCUUAGAUUGUUCCAUCUGGAACCUACUUAGCACCUUAUCUAUGUACAUAGAUUGGGAUAAUCCAAUUAAUUUUCUGGAUCUAUCACGAUAGAGCUUUAUCCCAAGUACAUAGGAUGCAUCUCCUAAAUCUUUCAUGUGGAAGGUUUUGGACAACCACACUUUUACAGAAGAAAGUACUGCAGUGUCAUUCCCGAAUAGUAAUAUGUCAUCCACAUAUAACAUUAGGAAUACUACUGCAUCCCCAACGACUUUUUGAUAAACAUAAUUGUCGUCUUCGUUUUGAGUAAAACCAAACGUUUUGAUUUCAUUAUCGAAACGAAUGUUCCAGCUCCUGGAGGCUUGCUUAAGUCCAUAAAUGGACCUCUGAAGCUUGCAUACCUUAGUCUUUUAAGACUUGGACACGAAACCUUUGGGUUGAGUCAUAUAGAGCUCUUCCUCUAGGUAGCCGUUUAGAAAGGCCGUCUUCACGUCCAUUUGCCAUAUCUCAUAAUCAUGGUAUGCAGCUAUAGCAAGCAAAAUCUGAAUGGACUUAAUCAUGGCUACAGGAGAGAAGGUUUCUUCAUAGUCAAUCCCUUCUCGUUGCCUAUAACCCUUGGCUACUAGUCUAGCCUUAUAAGUCUCCACGUUCCCAUCAACGCCUAUCUUCCUCUUGAAGACCCAUUUGUUUCCAACAGGUACUAUACCUUCUAGAGGGUCUACAAGAGUCCAGACCUGAUUUUGAUACAUGGAAUCCAUCUCAGAUUUCAUGGCCUCUUGCCAUCUCUUUGAAUCAAUGUCGGACAUUACUUCAGUGUAGUCUCUAGGGUCUUCCUUUAUGUCAUUGUCACCUAGAAGGUGCAAUUCCCCAAAGUCAUUAUCUAAGCCAUACCUCUUAGGUGGUUUGCUAACCCUUUCAGAUCUACGUGGAGCUAGGGGUUCAAGAACAGGGUUGUCAACUUGUCGAGUGCUUGUUUGUGGUUCAUCAUUAAUCUCAUUAAUUUCCAUCGUUUUACUUAUAGUUCAUUUGAGAACAAAUUCGUCCUCUAGAAACUUAGCAGUUCUGGCGACAAAAACUUUUUGGUCGUCAAGAUGGUAGAACUCAUAUCUCAUAGUUUCUCUAGGAUAUCCCACAAAAUAGCACCUAACUGAUCUUGCUUCAAGCUUAAUAGCUUCAAGCUUCUUGACAUAUGCUUCACAACCCUAAAUCUUAAUGUGAUUAAGACUUGGCUUUCUUCCAUGCCAUAUCUCAUAGGGCGUCUGUGAAACUGACUUGGAAGGUACUCUAUUAAGUAAGUAAGCUGCUGUAUGUAGAGCGUAUCCCCAAAAUGUUACUGGUAGAUCGGCAGAACUCAUCAUAGAAAGAACCAUGUUCAUCAAGGUUCGAUUUCUCCUUUCCGAAACUCCAUUAAGUUGUGGAGUUCCCGGUGGAGUCCACUAUGAUAUUAUUCCACACUCUUUGAGAUAAUCUAGGAACUCGCUACUUAGAUACUCUCCCCCUCGAUCUGAUCUUAGGAUCUUUAUCUGUUUCCCAGUUUGUUUCUCAACUUCAUUCUUGAAUUCUUUGAACCUUUCAAAGGAUUCUGACUUGUACUUCAUAAGAUACACAUAGCCAAACCGAGAGUGAUCGUCGGUGAAUGUGAUAUAGUAGGAGAAGCCUCCUCUCGACGUAGUAGACAUAGGUCCACAUACGUCAAUAUGGAUUAAUCCUAGAAUUUCAGUGGCACGCUCUCUUUUCCUAGUGAAUGGAGAUUUGGUCAUCUUCCAUUUUAAGCAACACUCACAAGUACCCAUUUGGUCAUUACCUAAUGGGCGGAAAUAUCCGUCUUUCGACAUCUUGCGAAUCUUAUCAAGGUUCACAUGUCCAAGUUUAAGAUGCCACAUCUUUUCUUGGUUAACUUCUUCUCUAGCCCUUUUGGGUUUUGAGGUAUUCCCGCUUUCAAUACAGUGCAUCCUACUACUUGUCUCUAGGUGAAAAAGUCCCUCUAUCAUAUUACCAUGAGAGAUAAUACGACCGUUCAAGUAUAAAGUGCAACUCAUUUUGUCAAACAAUACUGAGUGCCCAUCUCAUAAAAGCUUAGAGAUAGAAAUCAAAUUCUUUAUACAUGAAGGAAAAUAUAAACAAUUUUUAAGUUCCAAGACUUCCCCAGAGGGCAGUUUAAGCAUGUAGGUGCCUAUUGCUUUAGCAGAGAUCUUAGUGCCGUUCCCAACUUGCACAAUCAUCUCCCCAUUGCGCAAUGUCCUACUCCAUGUUAGUCCCUGCAACGAAUUGCAGAUAUGUUGACUAGCGCCUGAAUCAAAUAUCUAGGAAUUGGAGCUCAUUGUAAAAGCACUCUCUAUGACAGAAAUAGUCCCUUCAAAAGUUCUUGUCAUAAGGCUCGCAAUGCGAACCCUGUAUUUCUUCUUCCAACGUUCAUCAUUUCCACAAUGAAAACAUGUUCCUUUGGAUUUUCUUGCCUUCUUCUUAUGCAACCUUUUCCUUGUGAUUGCAUUCUCACUCCCACUGUCCUUUUUGAAACCUUGUUCAAACAUACAACACAUAUCAAUCAUCUCGGUAAAAGUAUGAUUGAAUCUAUUCACUUUAUAGUUUACAAUAAACUUGGUGAAAUCAUCUGAGAGAGAUGCAAGGAAAAAGUCUUGGGCCAUUUUCCUAUCGAUGGAAGUUCCUAAACUUUCAAGAUCUUGAAAGAUCCUUUCCAUCUUUUGUCCAUGUUUAUGAACCGAUGCCCUCUUUGCCAUUUUGGCAUUCAAUAGACUACAAACAUUUGAGAAUCGUACAUUACUAGUCUCAAUGUCAUGCAUCUUAUGCAAACUAUCAACCAUGGCACAAGAAGUGUCCAUGUGCUCAUGUAGCUUCUUAAGCUCCUCACUAAGUGAAGUGAGGAUUAAGCAUUUGGCUUAUAAGUCAUCCUCAUGGUGUCUAUCAUAAUUUUGACACUCCUCCUUUGAAGCUAGUUUCAUAAGAGGUACAUGAGGAGGGGAUUGCUUAAGCACAUACAAUAUGUCUUUCACCUUUGAGACAUUCUCAAUGUGGCGAUACCAAGCAAGGAAACGUUAGCCCCUAAGGCCCCUUUUGUCAAGUAUAAUGGUGGGUGUAAUUUUAGGCAUGUCGUUAACUACAUAACAUAACAGAAAUCGUAUUAGAUUGUUGUUUUUAAAACUACUUGAUUGGGUCUUAAAUCAAAUAGUACCACCCACUAUUUUUGGCAAAUUCCACAUCCCUCAAUGGAAUUCGAGAGUUGUGUUGAACUCUUGGCGGGGUAUGGGAGACUCACCAUUACCAAGCCCACCUCACGAUGAUACGAUGUUGGUUAGCAAAAAUAAUGAUGAGAGAAUAACGCUUUAAUCAUUUACAACUCUUGUAAUUACCCAUCUUGUUUGGCCUCUAGAGAAUGAUACCUCACAAUGAUAUGAUGUUGGCACCAUUGCACUUAGUUAAGUUAUUCCCACCACGCUAGUUCGUGUAGGGGUUCAAGAAUAGCCUCACAAUGAUAUGAUGUCGGCCAUCCUCGUUGCCUACCUCACUACAUCAUGUAUGUAUAUAUGGACUCCUCCUGAAUGUAAGCACAUACUUUGAACUCCCCAUGAUAGGGUGAAGCCGUUGUAGGAGUCACAAACGAUUGGAGCCCAUCAUGGUGGAAGGCCUACGAAGAGAUGUUCAAAACAUCUCUCGCUUAUCAACUUAAUAUUCGUUUUGUUGAGGGAGUAGUGUUGGGCUACAUCAAUUUUAUUUUAAUCUUAUUAAAAGAACUUGGGCCUAUCACAACCAUUGGUCCAAGUUAAUAUGAAUAGUAGUAUAUAAUACUCCCACUAUUUCGAUGAAACAAGCGAGACUAUAUGGAACUACUAACGAAUGCUUUGCAUCCUCAUAUGGACUAUAUAGUCAUAUUAGGUCUUAGGAUGAUUAUGAACCAUUUGAUUUGAUCCAACACGAGCCUUGUGUUGGACCUUGGGUUUAAGGUAGAUAGUUGUUGAUUUUAGUUACGCAUUUAAUCCAAUUAAACCGUUAUUUCCUAUUGGGCGUUGGACCCAACUAUUUCAAUUUGCAUACAUAUAUAAACAAAAAGGAAUAAAUGAAAUAAAGAGAAGGGCUUAUGCCCUUUUACAACACAUUUGAUGGACUUAUGUCCAUUUACAACAAAUUUGAACUAAUCAAAUUACAUUCAAAUCUAAACUACUAAACCCAAACAUUCAUAAUGUAAAGCGGCCAAUCACAUAGCUCAAUUAUCGAGGCCUUUGGUUCAUAAUCAUCCUUUUCUUAAUCAAUCACAUUAACUAAGAAAGCAACUUAAACAAUUGGUUUUCGGAUUCAUAGAAUUGAUUUAAAUGGAACUAAAUGAAAUGAAAAUCCAAUUCUCAUUAAAGAGACAAAACCAUUUUGUUCUCAUCUUAUUUGGGCCAAAAACAAUGACCUCAACAAUUGGGCCAUUAUUCAAUAAACAUAAACUUUUGGGGUCACUUUGUAAAAACACAAGAGUCCACAACUUCAUGUAAUUACAACUAGAACCCAAAAUUUUAACAAUAAUAAAAACAACAUUAAAGGAGCAAAACAAUUUGUCCUUUAGAGUUUUUGGGCCUUAACGUAAAAACGUAAACUUUUGGGCCAAAAUACAAAUACACAAAAGUAUCAAAACUUUAUGUAAUUGCAUAAAAGGCCCAAAAUUACCCCCACUUGGGGUUGGCCGGUUUUAGAAGUGAAAAAGGAGUGUGAAAAGGUUUUGGUGAAAAAUCAAAGUUUGAAAGUGUUUUAUGCAAGUGGAACAUGCAAGUGGAAUAGGUAGGUGAGGAUAAAGGUGAUGGGUAUAGGUUGUAAGAAAAUGUUUUGUGAAACAUUAAUAGCAUUUAUCAUCCCUCACCAAUAAUCCAUCACCCAUAAAAAAUAAACCAAAACUUUAUGAAAAACACCAAACACUUUGAAUCAAAAUUCCAAACCUUUUUGUUCUUGGUAAGAAACUCAAGAACAUUGAAGAACACACAUGAAAACUCAUAAGAGCUCCAUGAAUGUUUUCACACAAUAAAACUCAAAUUUUCACUACACAAAAGAGGGUUAACAUCCUAGGGUACUUAGGGGUUCCAAAAGUCACUUUAAAACCAUUUUAACAAGACAAACAUGAACCCAAAAAUCCACCCCUUGGAUUUGGCCGAAUUUCCCAACAUACAUGGCACCAAAUUUUAGUUCCAAUAUUCAUGCUUAAAUGAACUACAUCUACAACAUUUGAGAUGCUAAAUUUUCAAGCAAAAUUUAUAUUCAAAAGCAAGAACAAAGCUUGUAACAUUUACAACAUUUAAAUCACAAAUCAUGAAAAUCACAAAACCCAAAAGGAUUCACCAUAAACUAGACCUAGACUCUGAUACCACUUGAAGGAUAAAUUUUGUCCUAGCUAAGAACAUGUGAGAAUAUUUGAACACAUAUGCAAACUAUUAACACAUUAAAGUAGGCAUGCAUUCAAAAACAAUUCUGAAACCCAUGACUUUCAAAGCCUAGUGAAUGGUGAACCAAGAGACUCUUUAACAACAUUAAAGAGAAAGAAGGUUUUAGAGAUUCAUUACCCUUAAAGCUCAUCCUUGUUUACACAAGGGAUUCACCCAAGUGGAGGGCCUUCAAGUCACCUCCUAGCUCCUUGGAUCUUCCUUCUGAUUUCCUUCCUUUUGAUGCUCCUUUGCUCCUUGAGGAUGUGAGGAAACGAUCUCCAAAACACCAAAGAUUUGGUGUCUCUAAGUCUCCACACCAAGGAUGAGGUGUGAAGAUAAAAUGGAUGACUUAGAGAAGAAAAGAUUGCUAGCUAAAUCCUCUCUAAGUGGCCGGCCUCCUUGUAGAGAAAAAGAGAGAAAGUGUUUCACCUCUUUGCCUCAAGAAAACCCUAAUGAGAAAAUAGCUAUAAAGUUAACUUUAUACUACAUCACAUUUGAGUGGCAAACUUGUAAUUAAUUCAAGUUUGCAUCCACUCACCCUUAUGGCCGGCCUUGUCUUUGUUAUUGGGCUAAUUGCCCAUUUUGUUUUAGUUGUCAUACAACUUAAACAUAAUGGGCUUUGUGGGCCAAAACACUUUUGGGCCCCGAAACCCAAAACCAACUUAAAAGCCCAAUACGAACCUUUCGUAAAAUUAAUUAACUAAUUAAUUAAUCUUGACCAUUCUCAAUUAAACCAUUUAAUUGCUUAUCCAUCUCAUUUAUAUUUCUUCACUUUCAUCACUUUCAUCCUUACUCGGUGUACGAUCCAUUAGGUUCUAAUUAGCGAGGCAGUGGGCGAUUGUUACUCUUAACGAUCGAUUGUGAAUUGAAACAACAUUUCAAUUCUCCCUUUGUUGAAGAUUAGUGUUUGCUAAUCUUCACGGCUUCCACAAACCAUGAGUGACACCUAGCAGCAUGUCAUGGCUACCCAAGCUAAAUAGAAUUGGUUGGAGAACCUAUCCAGUUACAAUUUGAAUGCAAUACGGUCCUUCUCUAAUACAAUACUCUUAAUCACAUUGUUUGAGUGAUAGUUUGUUUCAUGUCUACUAUCCAAUGUAAUACUUAUCUAUAUGAUUCAAUUGAAUAUGAUUUGGAACAUACUUCCUAAGUCAUAUUUGUAUGCUUUGGCCAAAGACUCCUGAAUCAUAUCUUAGAGUAUUCUCCUUCCACUAUGGAAGGUUAGAGAUCCCUUGUUGUGCAUUCAUAUGCCUACAUGACUAGAUAGCUUGACCCCAACAAUGCCGUGGACAUUCUCGAUGGAAUGCCUUUGACAUGAUCAAAGAUCAAGGACCUAACCAUUAGACAUCUAUGAUGCCUCAGGUCAAAGGACUACUUUGCAUAUUGCAACUUACGAGUUCUUACAUGACAUGUAUGUUCGAACUCUCUUUUGACCGUUGUUCAGUGUACUCGAUUACUCUUUCAAGCACCUACGUGUUUGUCUUAGUGUCCAACACUAAAUGACUUGAGACUAGUCAUACUCACGCUUGAGUUGACAUAACACAUACUAACCUUAGCGGAUUGUCAAUGCCUAAUUGACAAUCCUAUGGCUAGGAACAUUUUAGGAAUGAACAUAAGAGAAAGGUCUCGUUAAUCUAACUUACUUAAAUCACUUCUCUCUUAGAUCAAACACAUUCCUUGGAUUCCCUUAUUGCUUAAACAUAUGAUACAAUAAAUAGUGAUUAACAAUAAGCUUUGCCCUUCAUUAAACAUAUAAUAGUUUAAUACAUUAAGUAUUCCAAAAGCUAUUACAUCAAAUGAGUGGCUUUGUGGGCAUACUUCCAACACAUUCUUCAUCACCGAAUCCCCAACGGUAAGAGGACCAGUAGGGGAUAUGAAGGAUGGGUGCCAUAUGUUGUCUGGAGAAGGCAUGGUUUCCUCUUCACCAAGGUUCAAGUCAAAACGACGGUCAGAGGGACCAGACAUUUUCAAAGGUGUUGAAGAAAGAAGAGGUCGGACGAAUCAAGAUCGUAGAAGUGUAAGAAGGGAGUUUCUACAGGCAGAAAUUCAAGUGUGCUUUGAAACGUACUGCGCGCCUCUUUAAAAACCAACACUAUCGGGAGCUCAGAAAUCGAAGAGGCCAACUCAAAAAUCGAAGAGGCGCUAGCUUUCUCAAAAGCUUGGCUUGCUCAGAGACCACGGGCCAAUCUUCUUUUCCAGAUUUGUCCGCACUUGUCGCAUGUAACCUCUGCACUCGACGGAGCUCAGAACUCAAAAAGGCGAGCUCAGAACUCGAAGAGGCAAGCUCAGAAAUCGGAGAGGCAUCUGCUUUUCUAGAUGUGUCAGCAUCUGUCACAUGCAUGCUCAGCUUUGCAGAAAUCAUGGGUAAUUUGUCGAAGUGCCGAUUCCAGAUAUCGAAGAGGCACUUGCUUUUCCAGACGUGUCAGAGCCUGUCACAUGCACACUCAGCCUUGCGGAAAUUACGGGCAAUCUGUCGAAGAUCUCUUGUGAAGUAGAAAACACGUGAAGUUUACUGUUAAAUCAUCCAACGGUUGCUGACAAGAGUGAAAGAAUAGUACCGGUUAUUAAUUCCUAUAAAUGUCACCCUUCACCCUCCAUUGCAAGGCAGACAUACAUAACCCUUCUUAUUCUCCGAGAAUGCCUUUCCAACAAACCCUUUCGAGUCACUCAGUGUUCUUUAUUCCUUGGGGUACCUCUGCAAACAACUCAUCCAAAGAAAAAGUAUUUCAUAUCAUGAAGGUUGAAAGCAAGAGUAUCUCAUAUCAUGCUUUCUCUCUGUCAUUCUCCUUGUUGUUGUCUACGGGACAAUGAGAAAGAGAGCAAUCAACCAGCCUUUGGUAUCAAUCUUCCGAUCUGGAACCGACUGCCUGGAACCCCUUCCUGAUUGCUUACCUAGCCUUGCUCUCGAGUACUCAUCUUCAACAUCUUAUGCUUCUUCUUCGUCUACCACAUCUGCCUGGGGAACAGAUAAGAGAAGUGAAAAUGAUACCUCGAAGCAUGUGGAGACAAUGUACUAAUUCAUCUUCAGCUAGAGACAAGGAGAAAGAAAGCAAAUGGUGGGCACUUGAAAAGAUUGAAGAAAUUAACAGACCAUCACCUCUACCUCGUGCCUGCCUGCAUUGCAGAAGAAACAAGCAGAGAAGAAUAUAGACUCUACAAUCAAAUCAACCCAGCAGAAGGAGUCUGAUUUGAAACCAAGGAACUCUCGCUCAGAAUUCCGAACCAGUUCGAGAUCAAAGCUGUGGAAAGACAACAAGAUCAUCUAUCUCCAAAACCAGAUUUGCGUUCUUAAACUCUACUCUGUCUGGUUUUUACUUUGCCAUACUUGUCAUGUUUAUUUGUUGUUUGUUUGAUUGUUUGCUUGUGUUUGUGUGAGUUUAUGCUUGAAACAUUGAGGACAAUGUUCGAUUUAAGUGUGGGGGGGGGGUAACCAAGUUGUUUUGCAUGAAAUUCGUGGGAGUUUAUCACCCAUUACUUCUAGUGUUGUUCCUUGCUGUUUUUAAAUGUUUUUAUGCUCUUUUGGAGUGUUUUAGUGUGUUUUGACAUAAAAAUCCAAAAAUCUCAUAAAAAUUUGAAAAAUUGUUUUGAAAAACCCAAAAAAAGUUAUUUUUGUGUGUUUGUUUGUGUCUUAGGGGUAACUUCCAACACAAUGAUGAGGAUUUGGUUUUUAAUUACAUGACUGUUAAAGAGAGUUAUAAAUAUGGAUGAAAAUUUGAUUUACUCUUUGGUGUAGCUUGGUUGUGGUUAUAAUUUAUGAAUUCACAUGCAAUCAUAAAGGAAAAAUCAGUUUUUGUAACAUGCUUGAAAGAAGGAACUCAAAUGAACGCUACAACCUUGUGAGACUUGAGCCUAAACGUUUAUUUGGAGAGUUAAUAAUCUGUGCAUCAUUGUUUUCUAAAGUCGUUACAUGAUCUCAUUAUUCUUUGCUUGGUUGCUACUUAGAAGGCGUUUCAUCAUUUAGUUCCAAAUGCUAGAACUCAUGCCUAUUUCAUUCAAAGCAUGCUAUUGAUUUGCAUAACACAUAUUCAAGAUGAAGUUGUGUAGUGACCACCAAAGCCAAAUUGCCGUGCCCCCUAUUUCAUUAUGUGUUUAAGUUUAACCCCGUUGAGCCUUGUUAAGCCUAUGUUUCUUUUGUUAACCCACACUAUCCUUACCUAGCCUAGUGUUAGGACCAUCCAUACCCUUGUUCUUGAAGCAUAGUAAAAGCAUGACUUAAAAUGAACUCCUUUUUGAUCAAUGUAUUGCAGAAAGCAAGUGUGGGGGAAGUGAUUUUGAUGAUUCUUGUGUGUGUGUGUGUGUGCCAAAAUCCUUAAUAAGGCAACGGGUAGAAAAAAAAAAAAAAAGAAUUGAAAAAAAAAGUACGAAAAAGAGCUCUAAAGUGUUGUUUGUUAAAGAAAGGGUUCAAAACGUUGAAUUCGGCCCUAAGUGUUGCAUAAAUCUUCCCUUUGUAAUUAAAAGUUGAUUUUGCAUUCUAAAGUGAUUUCCAAGUGUCUAUUUCAUUGCUUUGCUUGCUAUUGCUUUAAGAACGUUUGUUAUCCCUAUCCUUUCUUUGUUAGCCAUUACCCCCAAGCCCUGUUACAACCCUUACCUUCAAUCUUGAGUGUUGUGUGUUUCAAUUUGUGGAGUUCGAAAUUGGUAUAUGAGCAUAUGGUGUCACUGGUUCUCGCAUCUAAGUAGUAGCAUUCCAUUCAUGAGAUCAUAUCUAAACAUGCUUAAUAACUCCAGAAAAUUGCUUUCUUUGUUAUAACAUAUGUGAGUCUUAAUCUUUCGUGUUUACAUCAAUCUUCUCACAUAUACUAGUGUAGGGUGUGUAGUCAGAAAAUGUGUGUGAAAAGAGAGUAUCUUGUAAGGAAUUGAGCAAAUUCUCUAAGGCAUGUUACUACAUUCAAAACAUCGUUUUAAUUGGUUAAUUGUGAACUAGUAAGUGGUGAUUGUGAUUAAAUAUGUGCACAAGUGUAAGGAUGACCAAAAUCUAUGGGAAUGAUGAUUUUUAACACGUCAUGUUUCAUUAAAAAUCCCUGAGGCAAUUGUUGGAAGGUCUAGGUUGCGUUUUGUUUUGUUUUGUUUGGUUUGUUUUGUUUUGCUCGAGGACUAGCAAAAGCUAAGUGUGGGGGAAUUUGAUAGGAGCAUAUUUAUGCGACCUAGUUAGCUUGUUUCUUGGCAUUUAUGUUGUUAGUUCGUAGUUAUUUUAGUAUUUUAAGCUAUUUUCGUGUGUUUGUAGGUCCAAAGGGUUAAUGUGGCAAAGAAGUGCAUUUUGGAGCAUUUUUGGGCAUGGAAUGGAUAGCAUAUGCUUAGAGCAAAAGGAAUGGACGAAAUUUGAAGUUUGUGCAUCAUCCUCUCCCUAUAAAUAACCAUUUUAGCACACUCAUUUCACCCAACACAUCCACUCAUUACAACCAUCCAACACAUUCACCUACCACUACAUCCACUCAUUUCACCCAACACAUCCAUUCACCUACCACUACAUCCACUCAAUUCACCCAACACAUCCACUCAUUUCAACCACCCAACACAUUCACCUACCACUACAUCCACUCAUUACCACCACCCACUACAUCCUCUCCCUAGCCUAUAAAUAUAUCCAUCCAAAGACACAUUUGGGGGGACAGUUUAGGGAGAAGGGAGGAAGACACAUUCUACCGCAAGGCAUAGUCUUUUCUUCUUAACCAUUCUACACAUUCCCACAACAAAAACAUAAUUUCAUGCACCUUCAUUUCCAUUUCCUUGCUGUGACCUCCAUCCAACCUAAACACAUUCAGCCAUUCCCUUCCAUAUAUCCAUAUGCAUCCAUAAACCACACCUUGUGCCGCAACAAAGAGAAGAAGGAAGACCCUUGGAUGUGCUUGCCAUUCAAGUUGGAUUGUUGGAGCGUUUUUAGGUGUUUUCAUUCUUUUGUUUUCAAUGUCUAAAUUUUUUUUAUCUUUGCUUUGUAAGUAUGAGGAACUAAACCCCCCUUAGCUAGGGGGGAAUUCAAAGCCAUGAACAUACUUGCAAUAUGAAUUGAUUACCUUCAGUUGUGAAUUCAAUUUGUUUAACUGCUUGAUUGAUAACUUAUUCGUGUAUGUUUAUUAAGAGUGCACACUUAGUUUGCAUGCAUGAAUAUGAUGCUAGAGUAUAAGGGAGUUUCACCUAAUAGUUACAAACUUAUAUUCACAAGUAGUGGAGAUCGCUUAUAAACGAUCACGUUAAAUGAAUUCUUGGCAGGAGUUUCAUGCUCAUCAUAGUAACGAAUGCCUCGUCAAUACUUAUAGUUUUCAUAAUGCUUAAUGAUCUUUGAUUGUAUCUUUAUUGUGCUGUUCACGAAAAGGACUUUUGAAGAAUGCUUGAAUUGUUGUAUGCGUUUUCCCAUCCAAUUCAAUAACUUAAGGAGAACUUGAAGGUUAAUUUAAGCGGACUUAAUUAACCUGGGGUGUUGAGUUUCAUGAUUUAUCGAAAGAAUAACUGAAAAUUGGUUUAUGUGCAAGUGUGUCAUGUGUGGAGAAGAACCCUCUAGCUAGCCCAUCAUCCAUAGUUUACCCAAAUUCGUCCAAAAUCUGUUUUAGUUUACAAUCUGUUUGUUUUGUUUUCAAAUUCGUCAAAAUCAAAUCCCCCUUUACUUUAAAGUGUUUUAUUAGUCAAAAUAUGUUUUGAUUUGUGUUUUUAAGUGUCUUGAGUCAAGUUAGAACCUAAUUUCAUCCAAACUCAUCCCUAGAGUCAGUUUAGAGUCUAAUUCAUUGUUUUAAGCUGUUUUGAGUCUUUUUAGUUUGUAUUGCAUCUUUUGAGUCUAGUUUGGUGUUUUAAACUUAAUUCUACAUUUUAAGUCAGUUUCAGGUGUUUUAGCAAUCCCUCCUAAUCCCCCGUCUAGAACAAUCCCUACUUACAUUCUUUACUACAAUUGACAACAAGAGGAUUUAAUUUGUGUGUUAAGUUAAUUUUCGCAUCAGGAUGCAAAUGUGUUUAUACUGUGAAGUAUAAAGCUGAUAGGAUGGUGGAUCGCUUCAAGGAAAAACCAGUAGCAAAAAGGUACACUAAAAAUAUGAAAUCGACUAUACAGAUACAUUUGCACAUGUGGCCAAGAUUAACAUAGUUCGAGUUUUGUUGUCCUUAGUUGCAAAUCUCAAUUAGCCCUUACAGUAGUUCGAUGUAAAGAAUGCUUUCUUGCAUGGAGAUUUGAUAGAAGAAAUUUAUAUGGAUCUUCUACCAGGAUUUAAUACUCCAGAUAAAUACAAAAGAAAGGUCUGUAGGUUGAAGAAAUCCUUGUAUGGUUUGAAGUAGUCCCCCGAGCAUGGUUUGGAAGAUUCACAAAAUUUAUGAAAGCAUUUGGUUAUAGACAAGGUAACUCUGAUCAUACUUUGUUCUUGUAAAGAUGAAAUGGGAAGCUUACUGCACUUAUUGUGUAUGUAGAUGAUAUAGUGGUAACAGGAAAUGAUCCAGAAGAAUGUGCGGCCUUACAAAGAUACUUGUCUACUAAAUUUGAGAUGAAAGACCUUGGAUCCCUAGAAUAUUUUUUAGGGAUUGAGGUAUCGAGAAGCAAUUCGGAAAUUUUCUUGUCUUAGAGAAAUUACAUAAUUGAUUUGUUACACGAAACCGGCAUGUCAGCUUGUUAGCCAGUAUCUAUACCAUUAGAGGAAUGAUUAAAGCUUUUUGUUUAUCCGAAUCAAGUACCAGUUGACAAAGGGAGAUACCAGAGAUUAGUAGGCCGUUUAAUGUACUUAGCACACAUAAGACCGAACCUUGCUUAUGCCUUGAGUGCAGUGAGUCAAUACAUGCAUGAUCCCGAAGAACAACAAAUGAAUACAGUCAUGAGGAUUUUGCGAUAUUUGAAGGGAAGUCCAGGAAAAGGGAUUUUGUUUAAAAGAAAUCACCAUCUUGGAGUUGAAGGUUAUACUAAUGCAGAUUGGGGAAGUUCGGUUGAUGAUAGGCGCUCAACAUCAGGUUACUUUACAUUUGUUGGGGGCAACUUGGUUACAUGGAGGAGUAAAAAGCAAAAUGUGGUUACCCGUUCCAGUGCAGAAGCUGAAUACAGAGAAAUGGCCCUUGGAAUUUGUGAAACAUUGUGGCUUAAACUUCUAUUGCAAGAUUUAGGGAUUAAAAAUGAUUAGCCUAUGAAAUUAUUUUGUGAUAAUAAAGCCGCCCGUGACAUUGCACAUAAUCCGGUACAACAUGAUAGAACGAAGCAUGUUGAAGUUGAUAGAUUCUUUAUCAAGGAAAAAUUGGAAGGAAAAAUAAUUGAAGUACCAUAAAUUAGAACGAAUGAUCAGUUGGCAGAUAUUCUCAUGAAAGCUAUUUCAAGUCAUAAGUUUUCAAGUUUCUUAGACAAGUUGGGCAUGAGUGACAUAUAUGCACAAACUAAGAUAUCAUCAACAUAAACCAAAACAAUAACCAUCACAAGGGCUUUAAGGACAAAAAUAUAAGCAUCUGAGGUGGAGUGUUGAAAAUCAAGAGAUUGUAAUGUGGUGAAUAGCUUGUCAAACCAAGCUUGAGGAGCUUGUUUAAGACCAUAGAGUGACCUAUUGAGCUUACAAAAAUGAUUUGGAAACUAUGGAUCACAGAAACCUGGAGGUUGAGUCAUAAAGACAUCUUCUUUGAGAUCACCAUGGAGGAAUGCAAUUACUAAUAUCAAGCUGAUUAAAAAACCAAUCAUUUUGCAUAGCAAGGGACAAGAGGAUUAUAAUAGUGACAAGUUUAGCCAUAGGGCUAAAGCUCUCUUUGUAAUCCAAACCCUUUUGUUGAUGAAAGCCAUUGGUAAGCUGGGCUUUAUAACGAUCAAUACUACCAUAUGAAUGUGUUUUGAUCCUGAAACCCCACUCAUAACCUACCAAAAGUAGAAGGCACCAAAGACCAAGUACUUACGGACUGUAAUGCAUUGAAUUCCUCUUGCAUAGCAUGUCUCCAGUGUUCAAACUUGGAUGCUUGAAGAUAAGUAAUUAGGACAUGAGCAAUUGAAGAGGGUAAGGCAUGCUUGGUUGCUGUGUAAAUCUUUGGCUUAAAGACAUUGACCUUAGAUCGAGUGAUCAUGGGAUGUAUAUUGGUGACAUUUGGAGAAACUGUGGCAUUGGAGGAAGCUACACUAAAUGAUGAAACAGGACCUUCAUGUAAGGAACAUGCAGCUUGAAGAUGAAGACUUGUAGUAGAAGUAGACAAUGAAAGACAUGGGUUAAUAGAUGGAGCACAGUGAGGAAUGGAAAAUUCAAGACUAAAAGGAGAAAAUGUAGAUGUGGUUGAGGAAAGAGAUGUUGCAGCUUAAAUCUUGUGAAAUGGAAAUUCUGAUUCAUUAAAAAUGACAAGUCUGGAAAUAUAAAUGCGCUGAGUAAGGGGAUCCAAGAUUUGAUACCCUUUGUGUUGAACACUAUACCCCAAGAAAACACAAUGUUUACUCUUUUACUGUCCAAUGUAAAAGAGAUGUAGGGUUUGAGCCAUAGAAAGCAGCUACAACCAAACAUUCUCAAUCUUGAAUAAUCUAGAAGAAUAUGAAACAGAAGUUCCCAUGGAGACUGAGAAAUACCAGAUAUAGGACGUCUAUUAAUCAAAUAGACAACAAUGAAGAAUGCCUCAACUCAAAACUAAUGAGGUACCUGAGAUUGAACUAACAAAGUCCUUGCAGUUGCAACUAAAUGUUUGUGUUUACAUUCAACAUAACCAUUUUGUUCAAGGGUAUGGGGACAACUGAAUUAUUGAAGAAUACCAUGAGACUUAAGAUAAGAUUGAAACUGAUUUCUAGUAAAUUCACCCCCUGAGUCUGAUCGAACAGCUUUGAUUUUAUUGCCAAGAAUGUUUUCUACAUAGCAUUGAAAAUGUACAAAAGUGGAGUACACAUCUGCCUUAGACUUCAAGGGAAAAAACCAACAGUACCUACUGAAAUCAUCAACAAUAAGUAGGUAGUACUUAUAACCACUCAUAGACAACACAGAUGAGGGUCCCCACAAAUCACAAUGCAACAAAUCUAAACAUGUUGAUGAAAUAGAACUAGUACUACCAAAUGGAAGUUUAUGAUUCUUAGCUAAGGCACAAUCUGUGCAAAAGAAGUCCACUGCAGAUUUUCCUUGAAAUGGUAGUUAAGUAGUAGAGAGUACCCUUCUGAAAAUGGCAGAAGAAUGAUGGUUGAGCCUGCUAUGCCACACCUUUGCAGAGGCUUUAUUACUUACUAAUGUAGUAAGAGAAGAGACUAAAGAUUAACAAGAGGUAGAGGAGCUUUGAAUAGGAAAGAAACCAUCCUUAACUGGUUCCAUCAAAAGCAUCCUCCCUGUAGUACGAUUAUGGACAUAAGAUCCAUCAAUAUCAAGAGUCAAUGAACAUUUGCUAUCUUUAAUAAACUGAUACGCAGAAAGAAUAUUGUGUUGCAUUUGAGGCACAUGUAAGACAUUGUGCAAUUUAAAAGGAGAAUGUGGAGUAUGCAGCAAAGAGAUACCAAUAUGAUCAAUGGACAUACCUUUACCAUCUUCGAUAUACACUUUAUCUUCUCCAUAAUAGGGACUGGGAGAUUGAAUGUUGGAGAUAUCAUUCGUAAUGCGUAAUGUGAGAGGUGGCACCAUAGUCGAUUAACGAGGAUGAAGUAUAGGGCUUUACAGAAUGAUGAGCACACAUUGCAGGUAGCUUUGCAGAGGGUACUUUACCAAUAAUCUCAGGAUUCAUACGAUCAUAACAAUCGAUAGCCUCAUGACUAGUGAAACCACAGAUUUGACAUUGUACACGAUAACAAGAGGGAUUGAAAGGACGAGAACCAUAAGAAUUACCACAGUGAUUGGAGUGAUUACCUUUGGAAUUCUAAUUGGAGCCACGAUUGCCCUGAUUAGGGUAGGUAUGACUGCGAUUGUUGUAGUUGUUGCCUCGAUUACCACGAUUGUGCUUCAAAAAGGAUUGUGAUUGAUGAUACUGAGCAGCAAAUAAUUGUGGUGUAGGAAGAAGAGGAACCUAAAAAGCUUGAGAAUGCACCGAAAAAGCUUGAAAUGGUUAUGUGGCAGUGGAGGAGGCAAGUUUCUUUAGCCGAGACAUGGACAAUUCUUUGGUGAGAAGCAAGCCAUGCAAAUCAUCAAGUGUUGUAUUAGAUAGGCGAAGCAUAAUGGAGUCAAUAAAAGACUCAUAGUCAUCAGGCAAGCCAACAAGCAUAGCGGCAAUCAAAUCAUGAUCGGUGACCGGAGCUCUAACUGCAAUCAAGGAAUCAGAAAUUUCUUUGAUUUGUUGCAGAUAUUCAGAGAUGGAUAAAGAGCCUUUCUGAAUAGAUUGAGGACAAGAUCUCAAUUGAUGAAUGUGUGCAUAAAAAACACCCCCAAAUCGCUGCUUUAACUUGAUCCACAUCUCCUAAGAUGAUGAAACCCCAACCGUAAACGAAAUAACUUCCUCAGAAAGCGUCAAAUUUAACCAAAUAAGAAGAUCCUGAUCUUUCUCAUACCAAAGUUCAAAAGCAGGUUGAACGAUCUGGAAGUAGAGGAGAAGGACACAGUUCUAUGCCAUCAAUAACGCCAAGGAAUUUGUAGUGAUGGACAAUCAGAGUGAACAACGGACGCCAUGGGAGAUAAUUGGAGCGUUUCAGCUUGAUCGGCACCAUACUGCCAAUAUUCUAAAUCGUAAAAGAAGUGUACGAAUUUGAGAAGUUAAAGUUUGAGGAAGAUGAAAUUGGGGAUGGAUUCGGCACUGACUAAUGAAAGGAAUCCGACGGAGAGGCCAUUGAUGCAGCUUUACAAGAACACAAAUCGAGAAGCAAAGAGAAAAUGCCAGCAAGAAUCAGAGAAUGUGAACGGAAAAUGGACGGAUCGAAGUCGCUGGGAGGCAAAGGGCAAUUGAUACCAUAUGGAAGCUUACAGAGAAAGCUUAGAGAGGAAGAAAACACUUUGACUGAAAAUACAUGUAUUUCUCAUUAAACAAUAAUUAGUUAUACACUUGGUAUUUAUAGUGUUAACAUAACUAACACUUUACACAUGUACCCUUAGUAAUACUAACAAUUACAUUUGAGAAUAACAACUAUAUAGAGAAGAAAAUAACAGUACAACUAUAUUUGAUUGCUCUUUAUGUUGGCCCAUCCCAUGGGCUCUCUCAUGUCUUUCAUGUUGUGCAAGUUUGGCUUUUGCCUAGUUAAUGAAAAAAAGUAAAAUUACAUUUUACCCCCUCAAGUUUGGGGUCAGUUGCAAUCUCAUACAACAUCUUUAAAACGUUUCAAUCUCAUACAACAUCUUUAAAACAUUUAAAUCUCGUACAUUAAUUAUUAAUGCAUCCGUUAGUCGUUUUCCCAUAAUAAUUAAUGUAUGAAAUUGAAAUGUUUUAAAGAUGUUGUUUGAGAUUGCAAUUGACCCCAAACUUGAGGGGGGUAAAACAUAAUUAACCCUAUUUUCUAUUAUGUCCAAGGCAUUCCUUGGAGACCCAAUUCGAACGUGAACUUCAAACUUCACGACAACAAAAUUGAGUAAGCAAGACAAUAAGAACAUUUAACAUUAUUCUUCACACAAAUUUACAAAACAUGCAGGCUAUGAUCGAUAUCAACUAAUUAAUUCUUGUCUUUGCCGUUAUCAUCUUUUGACCCCCCCUGAAAAAUUACCAUACCCAAUUCCCUAUUCAAUAAAACUGUUUGAACACAUCUAUAAACCAGAUUAUAGACCACAUCAAUAGUAGUAUAACCCACUUGUAUUUUUGGUGGUUUGAUCUCCUAUUAAUGAUGCAGUCCACAAUAUGUUCGAUAAAUGUGGUUUAUAUAGAUUAUUCCUCUCUAUUAUCCGUAACUACAUGUUGUAACCUAAUUCAUAGUCUUGAAACAUUCCUUGGGAGUGAAGAACAGAAGUAGAAUCCCAGGAGUUUGAAGAGGCAGAUUUUGCGUCAAACUCGUUAGCCCACCACUCCAAGCUGUCCUUGGAGACAUUGAUGUCUUUGAAACAAUCAAAUUCAGCUAUUUGACCAUCUUCCUGUUGUGCUGCGAGACCAAAACAUUUAUUAUUAACAACAUCACCAAAUUCACCUUGGAAGCUCGAAUUAACCUGGUGACGAUGAUCAUGAGUUCCGACACUGUUUAACUGCUCUACACCAUCGGCUUUUGCCGCCACAAUAGUUGAGUCCACUUGAUUACUUGUGGAGAUGAAAGCACGACAGGGGGCGUCUGAGUAUGCCAUGCCAUUCAAAGGAUUCUCCAGUUCAUCCAUAUUUUUGUGAUUGCAUAAUUUUGAAAAUUCUUGUUGAAUUAAGAUAGAGGCAGAAGUGGGCUGCACUUGUUCAUAGACAUCAUUGAUAUUACCCUUUUGCUUUUGAGCUGGUUGAAGAGGACUUGUGAGAGCACGGUGGUGCAUCAUAGGGUUAUUAUCAUUCAUGGAACGGAGGGUCUGUAUCAUCUUUUCUUGCAAAGGGUGCAACUUGGGCCACAGUGCAGGAUUAUUAUGGAAAGAAAAAGGGUUCUGAAGGCUUUGAAGCUGCAUAUGGAGUUGAAGUCUUUCAAGGGCUGAACUGCUUAAGGCUUGUGUGUCGCCAGCGUCCUUGAGCUGGUGAUCCUGACUCUGAUCAGACGGAGAUCGAUUGAUAUUGGACUGUUUGCGCCUUCCAAGUAACUUUUUCUUCAAUCGGGUGUUCCAGUAGUUCUUUAUAUCAUUAUCAGUUCUUCCAGGCAAUUGGGCAGCAAUUAUAGACCACCUAAAAGUAAAGGAUCGAAUAUCAACAUGCUAGACUCCAACAAGAAACUAAGAAAACCCUAGGAUGUUAGAUUAAUGAUCCGUAUUAUUAAAUUAUUUGAUGCGUUGUGCCCUUACUAUCUUGGAGCUUGGAGUAUAAUCAAUUAUUUGUAUUGGGAAAGUAUCAUGAACAAGGAAAAAGAGACACAACAUGUUGAGGUUAAAUUUUUUUUGGGGAAAUUAAAUUAUACCUGCUGCCAAUACUUAUAUAGAGGCUGCAGAUGGUCUUGUCUUCUUCUUCUGAGAAUCCACCAUGCUUGAUGUUGGGCCUCAAGUAGUUGAGCCAUCUCAGCCUGCAACUUUUUCCACAUCUUUUGAGCCCUGCAAAAGGUCAAAUCAAAUGGAGCUUUGAAAUAGGUGUGCAACUUUUUAAAACAAAAAUCAAAAUAGCUCUAAGAACAAAUUAUCAUACAGAUGCGUAUAUAUUAGAGUGUGUCAACAAUUGCAUCAGUUUUGUGUACGUACCAAUUUUCUGAGGAAGAGCAAUCCAAUUGCCACCAGUACCAUGCUCUUCAAUAUAGGCCUUAAGUCUUGCAUCCUCUUCAGGUGACCAUGGUCCCUUCUUGACGUUGGCCUUGUCACAGCAUGGAGCUCGUCCCAUCUCGAUCGAUCUUUUCUCUUUAUUUCUUGUUUUCCUUUUUAGGAUCUUCAAGGAGACUGAGUACCAAAAGAAGGCUGUCGACACUGUUAGGAAAUAAUUGGGAAGGAAGACAAAGAUUUAUAGUUAGGAAGAGUGGAUGAUGUGAUGCUUAUGAGGACAGAAAGGUCUUCUCAUCCCUCUCCUCACUAUUCAACCCCAAUUGUUUUCUCUAGCUAGGGUUUGAUCAUGACCAAAAAAAGCUAGGGUCUGAUCAAGGUCUCUCUCUCUCUCUCUUACUUUUUUUGGAUUAGUUCAAUCUUAUAUAAUUAACAAUGCACAUGCAACUGGACAAAGUACGGCACAGAUUUCUUCUUUUUCAAUAUUAAAUCACAUUGCUUUUUUUGUUGUAGUAGUUUAUUAUUUGAAUAUGCUUAGUACAGGGUAAUGGUCAGAAGAAGCUUCCAUCCCCUUAGUUUGUAAUUACUAUCCUUUGAAAUGUUCCGUUCUUAAGCCACCCUAGCACCUACGCAGUCCAUUUUCUAUUUAUUUGUUUUUUCUUUUCAUUGCGUAAGAGCAAUGUUAGGAAAAAAGAUUCGGAACUGAAUUUCAAGUGCCAGGAUAAACAUUUGGAACUGAAUUUCAAGCUUAGCUAUAAUACAAACUGUGCCAUAAACUUAAAAAUCUGUUUAAAUUUUAUUUUCUAACCAAUAACAUAUAGGGAAUUUUAAACUUAUAAAGCUUGUAACUCAAAUGAUUAAUAGCCUUCUUAGCGUAGAUAUUAUCUUUUUUUUUUUUUUUAAAUAACAUUUGUUCUUGCAUGUCCUGUGAAUGAAUUUCUCUCCCCCCAAUACCACUUGUAUAAAAAUGGGAAAAAAACAAUUAAGCAAGGAAAUUAAGGACACAAUUUCGUUGUUAGCUAUCAUAAUAAAACCCCAUUAGAAUUAGAACUAACUAAUCCUAAGGCAAAGGGUCGAGAAACUCAACG